AUGACAUAGCUAUACAUAGAGCUUCUGUCAAGAAGAUAUCCACUAGCUUUGCAGGCUCAACCUAUGAACAAACAAGUAAUCCUUUUAAGCAUUUUGCAUAGGUGAAGAGUUUAGUCAUACAAUGCCAGUCAUGCACUGACCUUAUUCAUCUCCUUUCCUUUUUCUACUAAAAUUGAUUAUUUUAAUCUUGUUUUGUUAAUUGAAUGAAAGAAAUAAAUAAUGUAAGAUUCGUGGGCGACUUUUGCACCUUAGGUAACUGCCCAAGAUGUGUCAACUAUGCUGCGAUGUGGGCAGAACACCAUCAUCUUCCUGAUAAACAAUGGCGGCUACACCAUUGAAGUGGAGAUCCAUGAUGGUCCCUACAAUGUGAUCAAGAACUGGAAUUACACUGGCCUGGUGGAAGCAAUUCACAACAGCGAAGGCAAGUGCUGGACAGCAAAAGUAAGUUUCUUGUAUACGAGUUACAAUCGGGACGAUUUGCCAAUUCAAGAAAUCCCUCUACAGAAAUAAUAAAAUUUGCUCAUGUUUGCAGGUUCUCUAUGAGGAGGAGCUUAUGGAAGCGAUUCAGACGGCGACAGGGCCCAAGAAGGAUUGCUUGUGCUUCAUAGAGGUGAUAGUUCACAAGGACGACACCAGCAAAGAGCUUCUGGAAUGGGGUUCCCGGGUCUCGGCCGCCAAUAGCCGCCCUCCCAAUUCUUACUAGAAGCCUGAUUCUCAUCAGUAUGUUGCUUCGAGUACUUGUUGGAGACAUGAAAAAGAGAGCGUCUUCUCGAGCAUUGCCGAUGCUCUGUGAAAUGAAAAUAAUCAUGUCUCUUGGUUGUGGAUUUGAAUAAUAUAUUUGACCGUUGGCUUCGGGUCGACAUCCUAAACAUGCGAAAGGAACAAUUGCUAAUGCACGGUUGCAUUUGGUGGGCUUGGAGUCGGGGACAAGGACCUCCACGAAUGCAUGUGUCACGGGUCAGCAGAUCCUUGGCCAUGAAAUAGGCCAUGCAACGUCUAAUUAGUGAAUAACACUCGGCUGCCCCUCCUUCCAUAAUUGUUCUAGAGAAUAUACGGCAAAUAGUUUCCUCAUAUCGGAUCACACCAUAUGCAAUUUAGCUUGAGCAUCUAGUCCAUCAAGCGAGAUGGCAUAUCACUUUAAGCACACCAACUGAUUUUUACUAGUUUGUGCACGAGAAGCUAAUCCUGCCUUUAGAACUCUGUAGAAAUUUAUCCUUUCUAUCCUAGAACUCCUAACACAAAUCGUCCCAAUGCUACUCUCGCGGCCAGUUGUAUUCAUCUCCUCUACAUCACCUACUCUUUACUUGAUAACCCCGAACUCUAUUCACAAGGGUUCGCGAGUACAGAAGAAUCACGAAUUGUGCCAUUCUCCCCCACUCAAUUCCACAACACUCUCAUUAUAGGUUAUCCCUGCAUUUCCUUAACCAUUGAUGUCCCACUUUGGAUCAUCAUAUAUCAAAUGGCAAUGCUCACCUAACAGAACAAACUACUCCAUUGGUAAUUUCUUUUGAUCGCAACUAUUCAGACACAUUCGGUCACUUGUGCUUUCCUUGACAAGUGUGGCAUUUUUCGCCAAUUGCACCUUUUGGCAGCAGUCUAUUUUGCCUACGAAGCCUUUUUUGAUCCCAACAUAUCAAUGGAGGUUUCUCCCCUUGUUGGAAAUGUGAUAACAAACCUCCUUUUAAGAUUCACCAAUUGAUCUAGGAGAGUUUUCUCUAUUCGGUGACAAAGUAGUUCUUUCUUGUGCUGCUAUUGUCAUCCUAGAAGUUGGUCAAGAGCCGCACUUUGUUCGAGCAUAUUUUGCCUUGGUGAUUCACUAUUUGCCCUUAUAGGACCGAGCAGAUCACAAAUUUUCUCAGACUCAUCUCACUUACUGGAGGGAUCUUGCUUUGAUACCAUCUUUUACAAGUUAGUAGAUCCUUGGUUGAGGAAUAACUCGUGUGGCGCCUCAUAAACGGAUAACAUUAGGCCAACCUUCCCUUCUACAGUUGUUCUAGAGAAAAAUAUGGCAAAUAGCUUUCUCGUAUCGGAUUGUACCACACCCAGUUUAGUUCGCGCGUCUAGUCUAUCGAGCAAGAUAGCAAAUCACUUUUAACACAGUAAUUGGUUUGGCCUGCCAUAGCCUCAUUAAUAAGAGAGUAGCAUAAGCUCUCAACCAGUUUGUGCAUGGGAAACCAACCGCACUUUUAGAGCUUUAUAGAGAUGUAUCAUUUUUAUGUUAAAACUUCUAGCAUCAAUUGUCUUGAUACCACUUGUCGCGACCUACCCUCGGGGGGAGGGAACAGGAUUAGGGGUAUUGCCUAAGGACGGGCCUAAAGCCCAUGAUUAGACGCGGGCUCUCCCAAGCCCAUACCUCGCGUGACGUUGGGAUAUAUUUUAGGAAUUUUGCAUAAAAGGAGUCGCCACUAGCCUAUUGGGGUCGGCUAGAAACCAAGUAAGGCAUGGGAGCGUGCCUCACUUCCUACGCAACCAGAGAAUCUAGGUUCGGGGACUUGAUUACACUAAUUAACCAAUUAGUGCCCUUUCGGUAACCUAAUCUUGUUCAUUUUAACAAAAUGAUUUUUGGCAGGCAGUUUGAAUUGAUUUUAUACUUAUCCACUAACAUGUGAGGUAAUCAUGCGGGUACGCAAUCAUUAAAGUAAUAACCAUAACUACCAAGAUCCUAAUUACCAUAAAAUUAAACACAUGUCAUCAAACAUAAUUAGAUAUACAAAUUAAACAUGCAACAUAAUUAAUAUACGAGCACAUAAAAGUCUAAUUACGCUAAAAUGGCAAUACAUGAUCAAACCCCAUCAUUUUUGGAUUUUUGAAAUUUUUAAUUUUUAAUUUUUUCAAAAUUUUUUAAAAAGAAAAUUAAUUAAUUUUUAAUUUUUUUAAUUUUUUUAAAAGAAAAUUAAUUAAUUUUUAAUUUUUUAAAUUUUUUUUAAUAUUUUUGGAUUUUUCGAAUUUUUUUAAAAUAUUAAAAUAUUAAAAUAUUUUUUUAUUUUAAAAUUUUUAAAGAAAAUAAUUUUUAAUUUUUAAAAUUAAUUUUUGAUUUAAAAAGGUGAACCAGGUCGAGUUCGAUUCGACCCGACCCGGUCAACGCGGAUUGGGUCAGGUCGGAGACCGGACCCGAGUUCGGUCCAAAUGGGGCCGAGCCGAACUGGCCCGACUUGGUCGGGCUUUGCCUUGGCUCGGAUUGGGCCCAAUCAGCGGGCCCAAUAUGGUCUAAUACUUUCUAUUUAAAAAAAGAAGCCCACUACCUAAGUUAGCCCAAACCCACAAAUCCAAAAAUUCCUAAAAGCCCAAAAAGCCUAAAAACCGACCCAAAUAGCUCAAAAACCCUACCCGGUUCGCGACCCGUGUCCGACCUGUUCCUUUUUGGCCGAAACCCUAGGGUUUCCUAACGGCGUUGGCGGCGGCGGCGGCGGCGAAGGUGAUUUGGACGGCAACAGUGGCGGUAAGACGGGCGGCGGCGUCGGCACGGCGUGACUGGCGGAGACGCGGCCAGAAGUGGCGCGUGGCGAGGGCCGGUGUGGGGCUCGCUCGGCAGUGACUGCGAGGCAGCUCGGACGGCGUCGGGUUGAGGGCGGUGAUGGGUGAGUGACGGCACCGGCUGCAGCGAGGGGGUUCGGACGGCGACUAGAGCGGGACGGCGGCGGCGGUCGGCCUGGUGGUGCAGCGGAGUUCGAUCAACUCCCAGAUCUGGUUCGUCUUCGGCUGGUUCGGCGUCGGGAGCAGUGGCAACGGCGGCGGCUUGGCUCGAACGGAAGAUGGAGGGCGGCGGCUCAGCUCGAACGACGUCAGGUUGAAGCGGCGAGGAGGGCGAGCAGCGGCGUCGGGUCGCUGGUCCGAGAGGCACGGGCAGAGCAGCAGGCAGGGAGUAGAAGACAGCUUCGCUCGGAGGAGGCUUGGACGACGACGGGCAGGAGGGCGGCGGCGACGCGGGUGUCAGGCACCGGUCGAGCGGGAGUGGUAGCGGCAGCGGCGGCGGUGCCGCCGUCGCCGCCCUUCCUUUCGGUUUUCCCCUUCUUCUUUUUUUCUUUCUGGUUGCUCCUCCCUCGAGCUCCCUUUCCCUCUCUCCUCCGGUCUCUCCCUCCGUUCCCCCUCUCCCUCUCUGCCGAGUUCUCUCUCUCCCUUUUUCUCGGUCUCCGAUGCUCCCUGUUCAUUGUCCUCCUGCCACUCCCUUGCUGCCCCUGUUUCUGUUCUGUUUUGCAGGUCUGCGUGCGAAGGAGGAAGACAGCAAGGCGUGGGCUGGAGGGGAAAGGAAGCUGGGCCGGGCCUAGGCCAGAUCAAGCCCAACUCGAGCCCCUUAAGCAUUUUUUUUGUUUUUUUUUCUUUUUAUGACAAUUUUUUUGGAUUUUAUUUUAGCAACUAAUUCCUAGUUUUGUAUGUGAUUAAGUUUUAAGUAAAAUAAUAAAAUUUAGGUGUCAACAGCUGCCCCUCUUUGAAUGGGAGCUCGAAGAGGUUCCAUUCAAAGACAAAAGACACCUAAAUUAUUUUGACGAUAGACCCAGGUGCAUAGGCACGUAUUAGGUUGAUGGAAAGAACUCAUAACUAUGGAAGCGCGUCUUGUCAAUAAGAGGAAGAAAGACUCCGGGCUACAAAAGCUCUCCAGGCUACAAAGCACACCGUGUCAUAGGAAGAAGGACUUCGGGCUACAAAGCUCUCCGGGCUACAAAAGCUCUCAAGGCUACAAAGCUCACCGUGUCAUAAGAAGAAUGAGAUGAAUGAGGUCUCACCGUGUAACAACGGGUUUUGAUCGGGUUGAAAAUGCAUGAUUCGAGGAAAACCAAUGAACCUUUGUAGAUAACAUGGUUUAAGGUUGACCAUGAACCUUUUGAAAAAUUGCAGUUUAGCAAAAAAACUCAUGAACAUUUUAAAAGCGGGGUUUAAGGAUGACCCACGAACCUUAUGGUUUAAGGAUAAACCCACGAACCGUGUAGUUUAGACUGGAAAAAGAAAAAAAAUGUCUCGCCGUGUAAAAACGGGUUUUGACUGGAUGUGAUGGUCUUACCGUAUAAAAACGGGUUUUGACUUGAUGUGAUGGUCUCACCGUGUAAAAACGGGUCUCGACCGGAUGGUAGUCUCAUCGUGUAAAAACGGGUUUCGACCGGGAAGAAGGUCUCACCGUGUACAAACGGGUUUUGACCGAAUGAUAGUCUCACCGUGUACAAACGAGUUUCCACUGGAUGAUAGUCUCACCGUGUACAAAUGGGUUUCGACUGGAUAAUAGUCUCACCGUGUAAAAACGGGUUUCGACUGGGAGGAAGGUCUCACCGUAUACAAAUGGGUUUCGACCGGACGAUAGUCUCACCGUGUACAAACGGGUUUCGACCGGAUGAUAGUCUCACCGUGUAAAAAUGGGUUUCGACUGGGAGGAAGGUCUUACCGUAUACAAACGGGUUUCGACCGGACGAUAGUCUCACCGUGUACAAACGGGUUUCGACCGAAUGAUAGUCUCACCGUGUAAAAACGGGUUUCGACUGGGAGGAAGGUCUUACCGUUUACAAACGGGUUUCGACCGGAUGAUAGUCUCACCGUGUAAAAACGAGUUUCAACUAUGAGGAAGGUCUCAUCGUGUACAAACGGGUUUCUACCGGAUGAUAGUCUCACCGUGUACAAACGGGUUUUGACUAGAGGAAUGUCUCACCGUGUACAAACGGGUUUCGACCGGAUGAUAGUCUCACCGUGUACGAAUGGGUUUCGACCGUGUGGUUUAGGAAAAGCCACCAAUCCCGUGGUUUAAAGAUAAACCCACGAACCUUGUGGUUUAAGGAUAGACCCACGAACUGUGUAGUUUAAGGAUAGACCCACGAACCGUGUGGUUUAGGAAAAGCCACCAACCCUGUGGUUUAAGGAUAGACCCACCAACCGUGUGGUUUAGGAAAAGCCACCAACCCCGUGGUUUAAGGAUAGACCCACCAACCUUGUGGUUUAAGGAUAGACCCACCAACCGUGUAGUUUAAGGAUAGACCCACGAACCGUGUGGUUUAAGGAUAGACCCACGAACCGUGUGGUUUAAGGAUAGACCCACGAACCUUGUGGUUUAAGGAUAGACCCACAAACCUUGUGAUUUAAGGAUAGACUCACCAACCGUGUGGUUUAAGGAUAGACCCACAAACCGUGUGGUUUAGGAAAGCCACCAAUCCCGUGGUUUAAGGAUAGACCCACGAACCGUGUGGUUUAAGGAUAGACCCACGAACCGUGUGGUUUAAGGAUAGACUCACCAACCGUGUGGUUUAAGGAUAGACCCACAAACCGUGUGGUUUAGGAAAGCCACCAACCCCGUGGUUUAAGGAUAAACCCACCAACCGUGUGGUUUAAGGAUAGACCCACGAACCGUGUGGUUUAAGGAUAGACCCACGAACCGUGUGGUUUAAGGAUAGACCCACAAACCUUGUGGUUUAAGGAUAGACUCACCAACCGUGUGGUUUAAGGAUAGACUCACAAACCGUGUGGUUUAGGAAAGCCACCAACCCCGUGGUUUAAGGAUAAACCCACCAACCGUGUAAAUGACAUGGUUUAAGGCUGACCAUGAACCUUUGGAGAUAACAUGGUUUAAGGCUAACCAUGAACCUUUGGAGAUGUCAUGGUUUAAGGUUGACCAUGAACUUUUGGAGAUGACAUGGUUUAAGGCUGACCAUGAACCUUUUGAGAUGGCAUGGUUUAAGGUUGACCAUGAACCUUUGAUUUUUAGGGAAGCACCCGCUAAUCCCCUGAAAACUGCAUGGCUUCAUUGAGGAAUCCUGUGAAACUCAACUUGGGCAAAUGUCAUUAGGAACGUAGUAUUAGAAACAUUGCAGCAUUAAUUGAACAAGCUAAUCAAGCUAAGUCUGACUGCUUUGGAAAAACAUUUUAUUUCAAUCAGCAUCAUGUGGCGCAAAAUUGUCAUCUUGCUCGUGGAUGCAUCGUUAAUCAUCAAAUUCUCUAUGAGUCAAGUUCUUACCAGAAUGAUUUCUAUUCGUGAAAAAGACUCAUUAGGCAUGCCAAACUGGAGCUUCUUAGUUAGAAAGGCCUUCUCACAUACUCUCGAUAAAAUGGCUACUUGAUCCCAUCCAUUCACGUGAGAAGUAACUGAUUGCUGAAAGUAUCUCACAUAGCCUAUGUCGAAGGCUUUCGGAAACAUUCGCAAUGAGCACAAUCUGAUCGAUCAAAAAGGUCUUUUGAAAGGACCGCAAUAUAGGCUUGGUUAGGGCUUACACAAAAGAAUGAUUACUUUGAGGCCAAUAAAGGAACAUUUGCCGCUAUCUUCAUUGGGUUUACGAGUCGAGAACUUGGAAGAUAAGACAAGAUAGAAUUACUUCCACUCCUUCAAGCAGUAGCUUCUUUGUGGUAUUCUCAUUUUCACUCAAAUCAUCCCAAUCAGAAGAGGCUUCGGAAAAAGAGUUAUAAUGUUGGCUCGGGAAAGGCUUGAAAGGCUUAAAAUUUUCAAGAGGGUCUUUAAGAGUCAGUGAUCAUCAUGGCAUCGUGACCGGGUCACUUGACCUUUCGAAAGCAUUUGGCUCUUAAAACACAGCAUAUCUCGAGAGUUCAUUCACUGAUCAUUUCUGCAUGAGAGCUUUGCUCUUUUCUCUAAUUUCCUUUGUCCUUUGCGAUGAUCUUUUUUCGCAGACACUUGGAUUUUGAUAAUUUUUCUUUCACAUAAGAUGCGGCCUUUUGGUUCUUUUUCUUGACGGGCAUUGGCCUUGCUUUUACCAGGCACACUGCUUUUUUAUGCCCCCUAGUUUGUCGAACUUUUUGCUCUUUGAACUUUGGUAGCUCAUGACUUUCGAGAUGCUUUUCACAUUUUCCCGUGAUUGUCAAUUGUAUUUGGUUAAUUCUUAUGCCUUGCCCCAGUGAAGGAAGAUGACCACCGCUCGAGGUUCGGAAAUGAAUAAUCAGGCCUAAAUUGGUUAAAGCAAUGGGAAUUAGUGUUUGGGUAGAGAAGGAAAUGCUCUUCUUCACCUUGGGAUGAGUCAAGCUCCGAUGAGAAUUCCUCUGAAGCUACCACAAGAAGAUUGAUAUAAGUGAAAGUAAUAGAAUAUUUCUCAACCUUUCAUUUUACGACACGACCGUAACCUCUUAUAUUGCCCCAAUGUAGGGUUGUUCUCGAUAGGGGUACUUUGAAGGAUCAUCUUUUUUUUUUAGCCCAAAUGGGUAACAAAGGAUCAGUGCAAUGCUUGGGAUUGAUGAAGGAAAUGCCUUAUCAUUUCGAUCUUUGCGCUCAAUGCGAAUGAAUCAUUCGUCCUAAGAGAAGAUCUCUUUUCACUCAACUCUCAAAAGUGUUUGAAUAAUGCUCAACUCUCAAAAGUGUUUGAAGAACGUGUUUGGAAAUGAGCUUGCCUUUCUUCAUCCUAAGCACUUCUUGUUUGGCAUGGUUAACAUUUCCAUUUCACUCUGCCGAGAUCAUUCGAGUAUAUCUGUGACAUCCCGGUUUUUCCCAAUUUUAUUUUCAGUCAAUUGAGUCGGGCAAUUCAUCCGUGCAUGUAGUUCGUCUCUUAGAGUUGGCCACUCACGAGGGAACUAGUUUAUUGAGUGAAGUAAUUAAGGAAUUUUACCGCGUCAGACUUGGGGACUGAUCACCCUCGGGUUGGAUGCAAGAAAAUUUCCCCAAAAGCUACUCAAUGGAUUAGGCGAGCUGAAAUCGCACCGGAUUGAAUUCAACCGUAAAAAUUGGGAUUGAACUUAGAAGUUGGAAGCCGGUCAUGUCACAUACCUUAUUAGGAUCAUUGGAUUAAUUUAUGGACUUUAAUUUAGACUCAAUUAGAAGAGAAUUGAUGGAAAUUGAGAUAAUUAAAUGUGCAAGAACUUGGACCCCGGCGGAAAAUGAAUUUGGACCUAUUGGAAGAUGUUGUGAAGAUUUGAGUUAGUGGAGAGUGACAUCAGCAGGUGAUGUCAUGGUGGAGGCCAAAAUUAAGGAGAGCUUGACAAGUGUCACAAGCCAAUUGGCUCACCAAAAGUGGGGGUGUCCCAUCCACUUCAUCUUCAACCUCUAGCACCUUGGGAAGGGAAAUUCGAAAAUUGAGGGGGAGAGAGAGAGAGAAUCCGGCGAGAGAGUUGCAGCUGGUCCGUCCGCCCCUUCGUCGCGUCUCCGUCGCCCCCGUCUCGCCCGCCGUUGCCGGCCGUCGCCGUUCGCCGCUCGUUCGCGUGUGAGGCCCCGAGUGCGAGCUCGUCGCGUCUCCGUCGCUGCCGUCUCCUUGCCCGAGCUGCUGGUAGCCGACCGCCGAAGUUUCCGUCGCCGCCGACCGUCCGCUCAAGCCCCCGCUGGUUGUUGCACAAGCUGUCGCCGGUUCUCCUCCGCCGUUUCUCCGUCCGUUCAGCCGCCAUUCCGCCGCCCCUUCAAGCCGGUUAGUUGCUGGAAAGAAAACCAGCAAGAACCAGCUUCUUUUAAGCUCGGUUUGGCUCCCUUUUGGUCCUCAUUUGGUGUUGAUCCGUGUAGGUUUGUCGUCGGUGUCGUCGUGCUCUUCGCCGGAGACUCGUCGAAAAGCGAUUCCGGUGAGUUUACCUCACUAAUCCGCGAUUAGCGAGAUAAUGAUGCCCUAAGUAUGUUUAGCUUAAGUUGAUUGAGAUUAGGUGGAUAGAUUGGCUUAAUUAGUUGUGGAUUAUAUUAAGGUGAUUGUUUAAGGUAAAUGAUGUUUAGUUUAAUGGUUAAGUAUGUUUAUUUUAAAAUAAACCUUGAUGUGACUUAAAGGAGUUUAUUUAUGAUUUAAAUAAAUGCUUCGAAAUUGUUGGAUUAUUUAAUAAUAUGUCUUAUUCCGAAAUUCAUUAAAAUAUUAUUUUUAUAAAAAAAAAAAAACUUGAAAAAUUUAUUUUGACCCUAAUUACUCAGAAUUUCGUGCCGAUCGCUGCUGUAUGUUUAGAAUUUGAAUUUGAUGUGUGAAUAUUGCAACUUGAUUGUUGAUUGUGAAAAGGAUGGAAUUUUAGUUAGAAAAUCCCAAGUGUUGAGUUCGACACUGAAAUUUGAUUGUUCAUGGUUAACAUCGUAAUUGGAUCAUGUGGGUGAAAGGGAAAAUAUCUAAGGAUCAGUAUCAAAUUGUCCUGUGUUAGUUGAAAGGCUCGGGUCGCAGUAGUGGCUAGGCCGACUGGACCUUUGUUCUUCUAGAGAUGCCGUCAGGAGAGUGACGUGGCUCGGGUCGCAGUAGUGGCUAGGCCGAUUGGACCUUUGUUCUUCUAGAGGUGCCGUCAGGAGAGUGACGUGGCUCGGAUCGCAGUAGUGGCUAGGCCGACUGGACCUUUGUUCUUCUAGAGAUGCCGUCAGGAGAGUGACGUGGCUCGGGUCGCAGUGGAGGCUAGGCCAACUGGAUCCAUGCUCCUUCGGGAAUGCCGUCGAUGUGUUGACGAAGUGUGCUCCAAGGUGGGGAGGCGAUGCCUAGCUAGAUAUCGGUAGAUAGCUGAAUUUCGAGUAGGCUUUGCCCUGGUGUGACAGUGGAUAAUGAUGGUUUGGAAAUGCUUGAUGUGAUUGCGAAAUUGAGUGAAAUUGAUUGGGUUCCGAUAAACUGCCUUCUUGUCAUUAUUUGUGCUUAAGUGAUAUGAAUUGUACUAACCUGCAGGGAGGCACGAAGGCGAGGUAAGUCUUCUUGAUGUUGUGGCUAAGCUACUCUGGGGCGUAUUUACUUUCUAAUAGGGGUUUAGGAGGGGCGAACUUGCUGAGACAAAGUCUCAUCCCGGUUUAGGGAAAAAUAUUACAGGACCGUAGAUGGCGAGACCCCCGGAGAUGAGUGGCCUGCCGACGGAGAUUGACCAGACGACUGAGAGUACUCCUGACCCCGGGAGCCCCUGGGUCUAUCAGUUGGUGAGGACCACCAUUUGGGUUGAGGUGAACGUGGAUAAUAGAGUACCUUACUUUUUUAGGGCUUGGUUUCGUACCGGAGCAGAUGGGGUUAGGAUUGGCCCCCUUGACAGCAUGGACAUUCCACUGGCGGUGAUGACUCCCAUUUUGGGAGAAGGGGUAGCAGAUCAUCCUGAUGGUCGAGUGGUCAACGCUUCGCCCCCGGCCUCCUGGGUGACUGAUCCUGAGGAUGUAGGGUCGACGAAUGGGGACGACCAAUAGUCCUAGGAUUGUGCCUUUUCCUUUUUGGGCGGACUGAUUCGUGUUGUGUAGGCUAACUCUCUUUUGAUGCACAUAGACUCUGACCCAUUUUUGGUGUAUAGGCCCUGGAUCCGGUUGAUAUAUGUAAGCCCUGGUUUGUUGAUAAUAUAUGAAUGUAUGUUGUUUGAUUUUGAGUCGAUGUUCCUGCUGUCCUAUCCUGUAUGCUUUUGUAAGGGGUUUCUUAGUACGUUCCGCUUGCGCAUUAAAAAGUAAAUUGGGGUCGGCGACACUACCUAGGAAUGUCGCAUUUCCAUGACCAUGGCGGGUUGUUCACGUGUCUCGGGGUUCGGGACGUGACAAUAUCAAUCUCCAUAGGGAACUUUGAUUCAAAAUGAAUAAUCCACAAGACAAGAAAACAAUUUUGAGAUAGAAAGGAUGCUCAAAAGGUUUGUAAUUUUUUUUCUUUUCUCAAUUAUUAUUCAUUUUUUUGUCUCUAGGAAAGCCCAAAAGUUCUCUUUUGUAAUGGAAAUUCUCUUUUUUUCUCCCCUUUUUUUUACUUAAAAAAAAGAAAAGAAAAAAAAAAAAAGACUGAGAAGAUGGGUACUUACCUGCAGCAUGGCGACCCGAUGAUCCUGUAAAGAAUGUAAAAGAAUAUGUUAGUGCAAAGCUCCUUAGGGAUUGAAAUGUUGGAAACGAUACAUUAUUACCAUUCACUCGCUUUCAUCCUUUUGGCGCUAACAUCUCUUGGAUUCACCUUCAUGGAUAUUUGGUAACUCAACAAUACCCCUCCCUUGCAUUUGCCUUUAAGUGUUUGAUGUCUUCCUGAUUCCUUGGUAGAAGGCGCCGGUUCUACGGUUAGGUGCAACCCCUUUUUUUUAUUUAUCACCCUGUAAGAAAGGGAGAUGAAAUGAGUUAUCUCUAUUCUUAGUUAGGUUCAACUAAGGAACGAUACAUCAUUUUUGAUGAAUUUGACAAUGUUGUUCCAGCACACUUUGUUUGUGGGGAGAUGAGAGAUUUUUUUUUUUUAAAUCAAAUGUUGCUUUGCCACUCUUUAUUUGACAAUCAUUUGUUAUGUUCGAACCCAUCCUGUAUCAAAGAAAAGGACAUGUCAUUUUUUAUGCUAAAGAAAAUCAAGUUUAGGAACGAGAUACAUCAUUUUCAAAGUCGGGCGAUCAACAUCCCAAGGUAUCUCUAAUGGAGGAAUGGAUAAUAUUGCCCCUCUGUUUCAUCUAAAUCUUUAUUUGUUUAAAACGCUCCACUGUGUUUGUUAAGAACGUUAUGUCAGAAACGGUAUCAGAAAUUGAUGAUUGAAAUCGAUAUAGUUUACUCUUCCUUCGAUUUCACCCUUUUGGAUGUUUGGCAACUCCCUUCAUUUGUCUCCUCAUGUAGAGUGAACGAAAUUGAUGGGCUAUUUUGGUUCCUAAGACAUUUGCAAAUAACAAAACUUCCUAGAAUGGAAUUCAACUUCGCUCCGCCUCUAUGGAAAAUUGGCGUCAACGAUGCCUCAACGCAUGCUUGCUUCUCAAGUUUGAUGAGCCUAAGAAAACGACUGCAUGAAGAGAGGGCCUUAAGCAGAGUUUUCUUGAAAUUCGUUUUGGAAGGUAGACAUAAAGGUUCGCUUGAAACAUUUCUAAAUUUGUUUUUUUUUUCUUUUCUUUCUUUCUUUCUUUUUUUUUUUUGGAUGAUUUUCACGAAAUUGAAUUCCAUCAUAAAAAAAAAUGAGUCGCAUGAUUUACCAAAGCAUCAAUUGGAUUCGCGACCAAAACCCAAAAUGGAAAACAAGAUUCUUAACAAGAAUAAAAACAACGAUAAAAUGCGAGAAACUCUUGGAUAGAUAAGAGUAAAAAUCAACUCUCAUUCUAGCUCUAGAAUUCACUUCUCUAUGUAGUCAAACACGAGAAUGUCAUGGAGCAUCACGCGUAACUUGCAAAAAGAUGACAAUGUCAAAAUGUGAAUGAAAGAAAAUGAUAUUUUAAUGACGUCACUUCUUACAAUAAAAUCAAGGCGACGGUACAUGCCCCACAAUCAUUAUUAUAGGACUUUAGUAUUUCGCCAAGAUUUUAUCAUAAGAGAAGAUAUCAUUAAAAUUAUCAAUCCACGACCAUUAAUCGAAUGUUCAUUUUUAUUCCAAAAGUUUCGUAAUGCAAAAGUGUCUUUGAUUUUUGAAAGAUUGAUUUGUGAUUUUACUCCCAGAAAAAUGAAGUGAUUUCUAUUUUGAGGAAUUUGUACACAAAAUGAUUUGCAUUAUAGUCCCAAAAUAUGAGAAUGAGAAAAUUUCAUAAAAAAAUGCAAUUUCAAUUUUUGUGCCCAAAUAUAAAAUCACAACUUGAAAGUUUUUUUUUAUUUUUUUUAUUUUUCAAAAUGAUUUCGAGCCCAUAACUAGAAGUUUAAACAAAACUAUGUGUUCAACAGGGCCAAAUCAAAAUGCUUAGCACUUGCAUUCAAAUGCUCACUUGUCAAAAGUGAUUGCCAAUUUUUCAAUCAUAAGUUUGCAUCACCGAGGGCAUGCGAUUGAUUUCCGCGAAUUUUAAGAUGAAAAUACAAUACAAAAUGAACAAAUAAAAAGGAAAAUGACACUUACAAUGGGUGCCGACCUUUGUUUUUUUGUUUUUUUUUUAUAGACAUGCACAUGAGAUGUGGUUCGAUUUCUACUCUAUAUAGCCCAAAAUGGAGCCAUAGGAUUACCGGACUGAACCAGCAAGGUCGCGGCUAGGUCGGGUUACCCAUGACUCCGGCUUCGUCAAGGAACCGACUCGUGUCGCGCGGUUGCAGACCGGGGUGGGUACCUUUGACGUGAAGGAAGAAAUUUCGGAGUAGAGAUGGGCGACUCGUACUACGCGGUUGUAGUCGGAGUGGUAUCCACCUCAACACCAUCCUAAGUGAUCUUAUGCGGCCGGGGUCCGGCGGCAGAUUGUGUGUGUUAAAGUGUAGUGCAAUGCAGGGGAUGCAGGCAUGACAAUUUAUAAGAAAUCAGCACUUUAUAUAUGAAAAAUAAACCAUACAUUCCUACAUCUCCCUGCAAGACAAAGGUGAGCAAACACUUCCCCUUAUAUUUCCCAUUCUGCUAAAACAUUUAACACCUACAAUGUUAGGGGCGUACCUGGAAUCCCCGCUGCCAAACAAAAAUAUUUUUGAACAAGAUUAAUUUUGGCUUAAGUCCUCUAAAGUUUAAAACCACGUCCCUAGCGGAGUCGCCAAGUUGUCGCGACCUACCCUCGGGGGGAGGGAACAGGUUUAGGGGUAUUGCCUAAGGACGGGCCUAAAGCCCAUGAUUAGACGCGGGCUCUCCCAAGCCCAUACCUCGCGUGACGUUGGGAUAUAUUUUAGGAAUUUUGCACAAAAGGAGUCGCCACUAGCCUAUUGGGGUCGGCUAGAAACCAAGUAAGGCAUGGGAGCGUGCCUCACUUCCUACGCAACCAGAGAAUCUAGGUUUGGGGACUUGAUUACACUAAUUAACCAAUUAGUGCCCUUUCAGUAACCUAAUCUUGUUCAUUUUAACAAAAUGAUUUUUGGCAGGCAGUUUGAAUUGAUUUUAUACUUAUCUACUAACAUGUGAGGUAAUCAUGCGGGUACACAAUCAUUAAAGUAAUAACCAUAACUACCAAGAUCCUAAUUACCAUAAAAUUAAACACAUGUCAUCAAACAUAAUUAGAUAUACAAAUUAAACAUGCAACAUAAUUAAUAUACGAGCACAUAAAAGUCUAAUUACGCUAAAAUGGCAAUACAUGAUCAAACCCCAUCAUUUUUGGAUUUUUGAAAUUUUUAAUUUUUAAUUUUUAAUUUUUUCAAAUUUUUUUUAAAAGAAAAUUAAUUAAUUUUUAAUUUUUUUUAAUUUUUUUAAAAGAAAAUUAAUUAAUUUUUAAUUUUUUUUAAUUUUUUUAAAUUUUUUUUAAUAUUUUUGGAUUUUUCGAAUUUUUUUAAAAUAUUAAAAUAUUAAAAUAUUUUUUUAUUUUAAAAUUUUUAAAGAAAAUAAUUUUUAAUUUUUAAAAUUAAUUUUUGAUUUAAAAAGGUGAACCGGGUCGGGUUCGAUUCAACCCGACCCGGUCAACGCGGAUCGGGUCCGGUCGGAGACCGGACCCGAGUUCGGUCCAAAUGGGGCCGGGCCGAACUGGCCCGACUUGGUCGGGCUUUGCCUUGGCUCGGAUUGGGCCCAAUCAGCGGGCCCAAUCUGGUCUAAUACUUUCUAUUUAAAAAAAGAAGCCCACUACCUAAGUUAGCCCAAACCCACAAAUCCAAAAAUUCCUAAAAGCCCAAAAAGCCUAAAAACCGACCCAAAUAGCUCAAAAACCCUACCCGGUUCGCGACCCGUGUUCGACCCGUUCCUUUUGGCCGAAACCCUAGGGUUUCCUGGCGGCGUUGGCAGCGGCGGCGAAGGUGAUUCGGACGGCGACAGCGGCGGUACGACGGGCGGCGGCGUCGGCACGGCGGUGACUGGCGGAGACGCGGCCAGGAGUGGCGGCGGUGGCGAGGGCCGGUGUGGGGCUCGCUCGGCGGUGACUGGCGAGGCAGCUCGGACGGCGUCGGGUUGAGGGCGGUGAUGGGUGAGCGACGGCACCGGCUGCAGCGAGGGGGUUCGGACGGCGACUAGAGCGGGACGGCGGGGGCGGUCGGCCUGGUGGUGCAGCGGAGUUCGAUCAACUCCCAGAUCUGGUUCGUCUCCGGCUGGUUCGGCGUCGGGAGCAACGGCAACGGCGGCGGCUUGGCUCGAACGGAAGAUGGAGGGCGGCGGCUCGGCUCGAACGGCGUCAGGUUGAAGCGGCGAGGAGGGCGAGCAGCGGCGUCGGGUCACUGGUCCGAGAGGCACGGGCGGAGCAGCAGGCAGGGAGUAGAAGACAGCUUCGCUCGGAGGAGGCUUGGACGACGACGGGCAGGAGGGCGGCGGCGACGCGGGUGUCAGGCACCGGUCGAGCGGGAGCGGUAGCGGCAGCGGCGGCGGUGCCGCCGUCGCCGCCCUUCCUUUCGGUUUUCCCCUUCUUCUUUUUUUCUUUCUGGUUGCUCCUCCCUCGAGCUCCCUUUCCCUCUCUCCUCCGGUCUCUCCCUCCGUUCCCCCUCUCCCUCUCUACCGAGUUCUCUCUCUCCCUUUUUCUCGGUCUCCGAUGCUCCCUGUUCACUGUCCUCCUGCCACUCCCUUGCUGCCCCUGUUUCUGUUCUGUUUUGCAGGUCUGCGUGCGAAGGAGGAAGACAGCAAGGCGUGGGCUGGAGGGGAAAGGAAGCUGGGCCGGGCCUAGGCCAGAUCAAGCCCAACUCGAGCCCCUUAAGCAUUUUUUUUGUUUUUUUUUUCUUUUUAUGACAAUUUUUUUGGAUUUUAUUUUAGCAACUAAUUCCUAGUUUUGUAUGUGAUUAAGUUUUAAGUAAAAUAAUAAAAUUUAGGUGUCAACACCACUCUCAUAAACCUAUUAUAUUCAUCCCCUCUACAUCACUCAUUUUUCAUCCGAUAACUCCAGCCUCCACUCACAAGUGUUCGCCAGUACAGAAGAAUCACAUACUGUAGCACAUGCAUUGCCUCAAAUCUAUCUUUGAUUAUUAUGGGGACCCUUCAAGUUGUUUACUUUUGGGACAUGUGAAAUGAUAUAGCAGUCUGAUUGUCAUAAUCUCCGGAAUCAAGUUGUGGCAUGAUCCACCAUCUUCUAACCUACGUUCAAAGUUAAGCCAUUCUUUCUAUAAAUAAUCACUUAUAAAAAGGAAAAUCCGCUUCCAAGCUUGGGGAUGGGAAUUUUAGCUUAUACCUUGGGCACUUUACUCUCAGACAUGAUUUUUUCUUUUGGGGGUUGAGUGGAAAAACGUGGUUCAAGUUAAGUGGCUCCAUAUUAUAUUCAUUAGCAAUAGCCUAAUACAAUAAUCUUCCGGCCUUUCACGUUCGCAAUGAACUUAGUGGAAAGUAAAAAAAAAAAUGAAGAAAUAAUGAUACAAAUGAUCUUUGAACUUUGGUCAAUGUACAAUGUGAUUUUUAAACUUUUGCUUAAUGUUCAAUGUGGUCUCUGAAUUCUUAAUUUCUUCAAUUUAGUCUUUGGACUUUUGAUACAUGCUCGAUAUGGUGCUUCAAUGUAGUCCUUCCUUCAAUUCAAGAUUAGGGAUAACAUUGAAUCUUUUCAUAUAGUUUAAGGAUUAAAUUGAAUAUGUAUCAAAAGUUCAUAAACUAUAUCAAAUAAAUUAAAAGUUUAGGGAUUGCAUUACAUAUUGAGCUAAAAUUCAGAAUCACAUUAAAUAAAUUAAAAGUUUAUAAAUCACAUCAUAUAUUUGGUCAAAGUUUAGAGACUACUUGUAUUAUUUUUCCGCAAAAUGAAAGAAAUGUUGAGAAUAAAAUAGAAAAAAAGUUUGCCCCAAUCUAAGGACAAGUUACGGUUUUUGGCCCAAAAAGGAGAAAAGGUCAAAUUGUCCAACAAAGGGCGGCAAUGAUCCGAGGAAGGUCGGUUUCCCUUUGCCACUUGUCGUUUUCUAUUGCAGAAGCCAAGCAAACCAGUGGCCCAAUCCAACUCGACGUCUUAGUCUUCCGAAACCAGCCCGAUGUAUCGUUUCCAGGGACCGCUCGCCGGAUUUUUGAACCCCUAAAAACAGCGUCCACAGAUGGAUCUUACUCCACCAUCGGGGCGGCGUUUCAUGUGAUUGGGAGUCACAUGGGCAAAAGCACAUUUUCCUUCUUAUGUGGAUCCGUCGCGUGUCGCUGUCGCACGGUGUAUUCACAUGUAAAAGUACCUAUUUCUCUUUGAAAAUCAAUAUUUAAAAUUUCACGAGACUGGUUUUCAUAUAUCGAAUGAUUUGGAAUUUUCUGAUUAAGUAUUAUAUACUUCUUAUGAGUAUUACUUAACAUGGGAAUUUUGCGGAUUAUUUUUAAUAUGGUUAAAUCCGGACAAUUCUGAACAUCAAUUAGGUGAGUUGUUCCAAGUUUGUAUAAGUUUCACCUUCCACUUAUAAUUUACGUGUUGAAACAUGUUCCAUAUCUUUUGGAACUAGUAACUUAUCCUGCAUAUUAUGAAACUUAGAAUCUAUCUCUCAAAACUUAUAACAACUCAAAACUGUAGCUUGUGGGUUUCAUCAGGCUCCAAAGUACUUCACACAAUCAUGUGCAAAUUUUUUUUUAAAAUUAAAGAAAAUGUGGCAAUUGUAGUUAUUAGCACAUUCAAUAACAUUCACCAUAAGAAAACAAAAUCCGGUUCAUUCAUUAUAAGGGACAUGUUCGUGGCUACUAACGAUGUAAUUCUAAGACUUAACAAAUACCGGAAAAUAAAAUUGUAAGAGUUAAAUACACUUAUUCCCAUUACUCGAUACAUUUAAACAUAAAAAAAAAGAUCAGUAAAAAAAAAAAAAGAUCAGAAAAUCUUAUGAAUAGCUUGGUAUGCGUAAAGAGUGUGCAGGCAGAUUUUCAAAUUCUGAUACCCCAAAACAUAUCAUGUGACUUCUAGGGGUACAUUUGGUAACAUUUUUAUUCUCGAGAAUAAUUUCGGUUUAGAAAUAAUUUUUUUUUUCCAUUUCUAUUCUUUUGAUGAGUUGCUGUAUAGAAAAAACGUGUUUGGUAAUUGUACAAGGAUUUUGUUACCGGAAUAGAAAAUGAAUAAAAAUGUGAUUGGUACAACUCUAAAAAUUUCUACUUCUAAUUUUUUAUUUAAUUAUAAAAAUAUUUAACAUUUUCGUGUUUGGAUAAAAUUGGACUUUUAUAAUGAUUUGAUUGAUCAAGGUAUUUUAAAAUGACCUAAGAAAAUCCAACAUAAUAGUUAGUAAAAAAAUGGAUGAUUGGAAUUGGAAAGGGAGUCUCAUUAGUUUAUAACUUACAAUAUGAGGAGAUUGCGGGCAUUACAAUGAAAAGGUGUAUAGAUCUUUUGAGAUAAAAGAGUAAAUGUUGCUUGGAGUCAUCAAGCUUUUGUCACUUUGCAUUCUCUCUACAAGAAACGACAUUGAAAAAUCUAUCUAGUAAAGCUCUAAAAGUUUAUUCAAUUUUGAAUCCAAUUUUCAUCAAAAUAUUUUCAUAUUUUUUUAUGCUAAACUAAUUCUAAACUAGAAUCAACAUUAAAAUAUAGUAAAACUACUCAAAAUCUAAUUUCUAAAUUUUUUUCUUAUUUUUUUUAUUAUUCCAAAAAAUGGGACUUGGAUUGGAUCAAGAGACCGGAUCUUGUGUCCAUUGUGUAAAGACAAGUAUUAAGUUAUAUUGAGCUUGUUUUUCUAAAAUGACAUUAUUUCUUUCUUUUUUUUUUUCCAGGAAUAGGAAAGUGAGUUUUUUUCACUUCUUGUUUUUAUUCUAAAUUUAUUCUUUGAACAUUGAUCUAAUUAGAGAAAUAAAAAAUUAGUUGACGUUACCAAACAAAUUUAUAUUCUUUUUAUGUUUUUUUUUAUGACCUAGGAACCCUGUACAGCCGACAGCCGGCGAGUAAACGGAUAAGUAAGCGGGAGGACCCACCACCCCCGACGUUCAGGGGAGAGAGCUCAAACCUUCGCGGCCAUCAAGGCAGUGGUUAUUCCUUUUAUGUUUUGGGGAGCAAAAGAAUUGAAAAAUAUAAAAAUGGAAACGCUACUAAAUAGGGUCAAUACCUCGUCUUGCUACCCCUUUUUCGAGUCACGCCUAGUCCCCCCCGCCCACAAAUUCAAAACGAAACUGAAUAUUCCCCAAUUCCACGGUCCAAACAGUGUGGAACACAACAUUUGUGGGUCAAUUCGACAUCCAAAACUAAGGAAAUCCCACAUGAAAUUGCUCAGCUCACCUUUGAAAAAUCAAUCCUCCAAAAAGGCGCAGAUAGAAAAAAAAUCAUCACGAUCACUCCAAUCUCCCUCCGCCUUCAACGGUAAUGCCAAUACCUUUCCUCUCUCCGCCGCAACACCGCCCAUUGGAUCCUCUCUCUCGUUGGCAUAUAUAAAGACUGCAUUUUUUAACCACUCUUCCACGCACAAACACACAAAAAAAAAACUCCAAAAGCGCCCCGCCAGCCUCCAUUGCCACUCCUCGCUUCACCUUCUCCCUCCACCUCCUCCUCCGCCGCCGCCGCCGCCAUGGACACCAGCAUCGGAGCGCUCAGCUCAUGCAAGCCCCCCUGCAACGACGUCGGGUCGCCCCCCAACGGCGCCGCCUCGGCCAUCCAGGGCUCGGCCCCCGGGCCCGCCGCGGUCGGCUCCCCCGACUCCACCAUGGGCCGCCACCUCGCCCGCCGGCUCGUCCAGAUCGGCGUCACCGACGUCUUCUCCGUCCCCGGCGACUUCAACCUCACGCUCCUCGACCACCUCAUCGCCGAGCCGGGGCUCAACCUCGUCGGCUGCUGCAACGAGCUCAACGCCGGGUACGCCGCCGACGGCUACGCCCGCGCCCGGGGCGUCGGGGCCUGCGUCGUGACGUUCACCGUCGGCGGGCUCAGCGUGCUCAACGCCAUCGCCGGGGCCUACAGCGAGAACCUGCCGGUGGUCUGCAUCGUCGGCGGGCCCAACUCCAACGACUACGGGACGAACAGGGUGCUUCACCAUACCAUCGGGUUGCCUGAUUUCAGCCAAGAGCUUCGGUGUUUUCAGACUGUUACUUGCUUUCAGGUAUCUCUUCGGUCCCCUUUUCAUCGUUCCUUUUGCUGACGCUAAUAUUUUAUUCGGACCCGAUCUUUGUCUGGAGAAAGUUGUAUAUGUUGACCAGAUACAUCGCCUCGAGGACUUUCUCGGAAUUAGUCAUAUUAUAAUGCUUGUCGUGAUUUUGGAUCUCGUUAUUUAUGGUGGAUCUGUCGUGUAAGAUUAUUAUAAUUAACUGAUGGUAUCUUAAGUAGUGUGGCAUGGGACUCGAAGUUGGAGUUUUUGCUUGCAGAGAUUGUAGUGAUGGGGGUAAAUAUGUUGAGUGCAGAUCGAACGAACUGAUGUGCUAAGUGUUUCUUUUUCGCCUUUUUCCAGGCCGUGGUAAAUAACUUGGAAGAUGCACAUGAACUGAUCGAUACUGCAAUCUCGACUGCUCUGAAAGAAAGCAAGCCAGUUUACAUAAGCAUAGGCUGCAACUUGCCUGCCAUACCUCACCCGACUUUCAGUCGCGAACCGGUUCCAUUUGCACUCUCUCCCAAGUAAUUUUUCAUCUGUUCAGUCGAUUGAGUCUGUUAGCUGUGUUAGCUUAUGAAUAGAGUGAUGUGAUUGAUUAAUUUUUGUUGACACAGAUUGACUAAUCAGAUGGGAUUAGAAGCUGCAGUAGAGGCAGCUGCAGAGUUCUUGAACAAGGCAGUAAAGCCGGUAAUGGUGGGCGGCCCAAAACUCCGGGUUGCAAAGGCUUGUGAAGCCUUCGUAGAACUAGUUGAUGCAUGUGGCUGUGCUGUAGCUGUGAUGCCAUCGGCAAAGGGGCUCGUGCCCGAGCACCAUCCCCACUUCCUUGGGACUUACUGGGGUGCGGUGAGCACUGCAUUCUGCACCGAGAUCGUGGAAUCCGCAGAUGCCUACUUAUUUGCUGGGCCCAUCUUCAAUGACUACAGCUCCGUUGGUUAUUCCCUCCUUCUCAAGAAGGAGAAGGCCAUUAUUUUGCAGCCUGAUAGGGUUGUGAUUGGAAAUGGACCCGCUUUUGGUUGUGUUCUGAUGAAGGAUUUUCUUAAAGCACUCUCGAAGCGGGUCAAGCGGAAUACCACUGCUUAUGAGAAUUAUCACAGGAUUUUUGUUCCGGAGGGCCAUCCAUUGAAGUGUGAACCCAAGGAGCCCUUGAGGGUGAAUGUCCUCUUCGAGCACAUACAGGACAUGCUCUCUAGUGAAUCAGCUGUGAUUGCUGAGACUGGAGACUCUUGGUUCAACUGCCAGAAGCUAAAAUUACCAAGAGGCUGCGGGUAUGUGGGUGUAGUUGUAUGGAUUAGGUCCUUUAUCUUUUAACCUUUUGAUCUGGAGCUACUUAAAGAAAACAAUCUGAAAUUGUUUGAAUGGGGGUCUACAGGUAUGAGUUCCAAAUGCAGUAUGGAUCCAUUGGAUGGUCUGUUGGUGCAACACUUGGGUAUGCACAGGCAGUGCCAGAGAAGAGAAUCAUUGCAUGCAUUGGAGAUGGUAGCUUCCAGGUAUGGAAUGGUUUCUGAUCUGUUAUAUUGCUAAGCACAUUCGAAAGGAUCAUCAUGAAUGACAAAGUUAUGCAUAGAGCUUCUGUCAAGAAGAUAUCACUGGUUUUGCAAGCUCAACCUAUGAACUUGCUAGUAAUCCUGUUAAGAAAUUUGCCUAGGUGAAGAGUUUUGCCACGCAUUGACCUUGUUCAAUCCCUUCCCUUUUUCUGCUAAAUUUGAUUUUAUUGAUCUUGUUGUGUUAAUUGAAUGUAAGAGAUGAAUAAUGUAGAAUUCGUGGAUGAUUUUUUCACUCUAGGUAACCGCCCAAGACGUGUCAACUAUGCUGCGAUGUGGGCAGAACACCAUCAUCUUCCUGAUAAACAACGGCGGCUACACCAUCGAAGUCGAGAUCCAUGAUGGUCCCUACAAUGUGAUCAAGAACUGGAACUACACUGGCCUGGUGGAAGCAAUUCACAAUGGCGAGGGCAAGUGCUGGACAGCAAAAGUAAGCUGCUUGCAUACGAGUUACGAUUACGAUGAUUUGCCAAUCAAGAAAUCCCUCCAUUACAAAAAAAAUUAAAAUUGCUCCUGAUUGCAGGUUUUCUACGAGGAGGAGCUUAUCAAAGCGAUUAAGACGGCGACAGGGCCCAAGAAGGAUUGCUUGUGCUUCAUAGAGGUGAUAGUUCACAAGGACGACACUAGCAAAGAGCUUCUGGAAUGGGGUUCCCGGGUUUCGGCCGCCAAUAGUCGCCCUCCCAAUCCUCAGUAGAAGCCUUGAUUCUCAUAAAAACAGAGCAUCUUCUCGAGUAUUGUUGAUGCUCUGUGAAAUGAAAAUAAUCUUUGUGAAAGGAAAACUGAUGAUCACAUUAUUCUGUAAAGGUCAAUUUAUAUUACUUUAGUAAUCAGCAAUAAAUUAAGCGCUGGGUUUUUAAAGAUCAUUUUACUCUUCAUACUUCUAAUACUACCCUCAAGUUGGAGCACAUAUAUUAAUCAUGCCCAACUUGUUACGAAUAUGAUCUAUCCUUUCUUUACCUAGAGGCUUAGUAAAGAUGUUUGCAAGUUGUUUACCAGCACAAAUACGAUUAGGAACCAUCACUCCACUCUACAACUACUCUCGAACAAAAUGACAGUCAAUCUGAAUCUUUUUUUUUUUCUCUCAUGAAACACAAGGAUAGAAACUAUAUGCAUUGUUGUCUUAUAGUUACACCAUAGAGACAUAGGAGCUAAAUCUCUAAAGUCUAACUAAGUCAAUAGUUGAAUCCAUACUAAUUCAUGUGUCAUUUUUGCCAUGGCUCUAUAUUCCGACUCAGCACAGGAGUGAGAGACAACAUUUUAUGCUUCAUACUCUUCCAUGACACUAGAUUUCCUCCAACCAAGGUACAAUAGCCGGUGGUUGAUCUCCUAUCAUCUAGAAAGCCUGACCAAUUAGCAUCAAAGAAUCCUUCAACUCUGCUGUAGUUUUAAAAAACAAUUCCUUUCCCUUAAGCCUUCUUCAAAUACCUUCAAAUCCAAAUGACUCUAUACUAGUGAGAUGUACGAGGGGAAGACAUAAAAUGGUUAACCACAUUUACUGGAAAGGCAAUGUCUGGUUGAGUAAUUAUGAAUAAUUUAUCUUACCUACCAAUCUUCUAAAUCUCUCAGGAUUAUAAAUAACCUCUCCUCCCUCAGCAACCAAUUUAACCCAUUGUUCCAUGGGUGAAUCAAGAUCCCAACAUACCUGUCUCAUCGAGCAAAUCCAAGACAUAUUUUUGCUUUGACAAAACAAUACCUUGUUGUGAAUGUCUCAUCUCAAUUCCAAGGAAAUACUUCAAUUUUCCCAAGUCGUUAGUCUUAAAAUGUUGCUUAAGAUAGAGCUUUAGUUUAGCUAUACCAAUCAAGUCGCCUCCCAUGAUAAUAUUCAACAUAUACAAUCGGAAUAGCUUGCCUCCCCCUAACUAUUUAUAAAAGAAAUAGUGAUCAUUUUUUACAUCUAGACAGUUCAUAAGAAAGUAUAGACUCGAAGAAUCUUCCAAACCAUGCCCAUAGGAUUGCUUCAAACCAUACAAAGAUAUUUUAAUUUACAAGCCAAUCCCCCAGACUUCCCCUGAGCAACAAACCCAGGAGGUUGCUCCAUAUAAACCUUGUCUUGAAUAGUACCAUGUAAAAAAGCAUUCUUGAUAUCAAGUUGAAACAAGAGCUAGUUAUAUGCGGUAGCAAGGGAGAUCAAAACACGAACAGAAGUAAACUUCGCAACAGGAGAAAAAGUGUACAGAUAGUCAACCUCAUACACUUAAGCAUACCCUUUUGCGACAAGACUUGUUUCCAAGCAACCAAGAGAACUAUCGAGAUUGACCAUCACAACAUACACCCAUUGACAACCAAUAGCAAUAUUGGCUAAAGGAAAGUACACCAAUUCCCAAGUUUGAUUGACCUUUAAAACCUUUAAUUCUUCUUCCAUAAUUGUCCUCUAGCCAAGACUAUGUAAUGUUUCAUUUAUUAACUUAGGGAAAGGCUUUUGGUCAUUAGUGGAUAAAAAAAGGCUAAAAAGAAGGAGACACUAAAGAGCAGAAAUAAAGUUUGCAAUAAACUGUUGAGCCAAGAACAUGUAUCUUUGCGAUGAGCAAUAGGAAUAUCAAGAUCAAACCCAAGAAGAUGGCUAGCUAAUGACAUAUCUAGAGCUGAAGGUGACAUAGAUGAUGAUAGGAGGAAAGGGGGGAGCAGUACCCACUCAAGGACGCCAAGUAUAGACCUUGAGAGAAGAUGAUUCCUGUGUAUACACUAGUGAAAUAGUUGAAGCAACUGACCAAAUGAUGGUCACAUUUAAGUCUUCAUCCAACUUAGAAACAUUAAUUGGAACAUCAUGAUAAAGAGUGAAUUCAAAGAAUGAAACAUCAACAAUUAUAAAGUACUUUCUUAAUGAUAUAAAAUAGCAAUGGUAUUCUAUUGUAGCGCAAGAAUAACCCAGAAACACACACUUGAUGGCCCUGAAAUUAGAUUUUAAUACUCCAGCAUGAUGAUCAUGAACAAAACAACCGCAACAAAAAAUAGGGGUGGUAAGACAAACAAUGACUUAUUUGGAAACAAAGUAGAAAAUAGUAUACUACCUUGCAAAACAGCAGAAGGCAUGUUAAUGAAAUAACAUGCAAUCAAGAUAGCAUCAACCAAAAGAUUUUGGGAACCUUCAUCUCAAACAACAUGGACCUAGUAACUUCAAAUAAAUGCCUAUUUUUCCUUUCAGCUAUACUACUUUGUUGUGGUGUAUCAAGAUAGGGAAAUUAAUGGAUCAUACAAUGUUGAGUCAUAGAGUGAGAAAAUGGUGCAGAAAAGUACUUCUUAGCAUUAUCAGAACGCGAAGCUUUAACAUGCACAAAUGCACAAAACAUAGAAAAUAAUUUUGAACAACUUUUUAUUAGAUUUAGGCAAGUGACUCUCAAAUAAUCUUCAACAAAAAUAACAAAGUUUCUAAAACACAAAUUGGAAAUCAUAUGACAAGAACUGUAAAUAUCUUAACAAACUAACAAAAAAGAGACGCCGCCGUUUAAUGACUCAAGGCGGGUGAUUGAUGUGAUUUAAUUUGUUAAGUUGAUGCGAAUCACAUUCUAAACUAGAAAAAGACUGAAAACUAAAAUUUAAUUUUGAAAACUGUGCAACGAAGAAUGACCAAUACAAUAAUGGAUCCGAUGUAGGGAUCCAACACUAGAGCAUGCAAUGGAAGGAGCAUCUUCAAGCACAUACAUGCCUCCUUUUUCAUGUGUCAAACAUAGGACGACAAUGAUCCGAGGUUGGUCGGAUUCAUUUACUUUACUGUAGAGGGGCAUAUAAAAAGGGCUGACCCCACUCGUCAUUUUCUAAUGCAAAAGCCAAGCAAACCAAAGGCCAAAUCCACCUCGACGUCGCGGUCUUCCGAAACCAGCCGAUAGUAUCGUAUCCAAGGACCGCCGACCGGAUUUUUGACCCCCCAAACACGGCUUCCACAGAUGGAUCGCACUCAGCCAUCGGGCAGUGUUUCAUGCGAUUCGAGUCACGUGGGCAAAAGUACCUCUUCCUUCUUACCGUUACGUCAUGUCGCUGCUGUCACGCAAUAUAUUUGAAAGUAAAAGUAUCUCUUCCGUUUUGGAAAUUAAUGAUAAAUUUCGCAAGACUGAUUCGUAUGUUGAAUCAUUUUCAAUUUUUAAGUAAAUAUCAAAUACUUCUUAUAAGUAUUACUUAACAUGAUAUUUUGCGGAUUGAUUUCAAUAUGGUUACUGCUAACUCAAGAUGAGGCUGAAAGAACAUGACGCUGGGAGAAACAAGAUAGACCCAGGUAUUUCUUAACAGCAGUCAAUGAGUAUCAAUGGUGGCCUUUCAUGUGGGAUGAAUUUUGACCAUGAAAUGAGUGAAAAAUAUGCUCUAGUUAGUGAAUAUGAAUAGGGUUUUGUUUACGAGAAUAUAUAUUUGUCAUUCUCAAAAAUUUUAUCAUUUUGUCGACGAGAAUUCUGUCCUAUAAGGAUCGGUAUUGAGUAAUCUUUUAAGACAUGAAAAUCUACUAUACACAAGUUUUAGAAAUGCUCGAAAUUAUAAUGUGCUAGAUUUGUAGUUAUUAAAGUACUUCAUACCAUUUAAGUCUUCUCCUUGUAUGUUCCAAAGAGAAACUUACUAGAAAAAAAUGCCCCGAUUCCAAUUAUCAACACAUUCAACACUCACGGUAAAAAAAAAAUAUCCGGCUCAUUCAUAAUAAUUUACAUGUUGAUGGCUAAUGGGCACGUAAAUCCGAAACGCAACAAACAGCGAAAGUAAAAUCAAGGAGUUAAAUGUAUUCAUUCCCAUUACUCGCCAUGUUUAUAAGCGAACAAAAAAAAAAAAAGGAUCCAUAAAAGAAGAAAGAGCGGAAAGAUCUGAUGCACGGCUCGAUAGGCGUAAGUAAAGGGUGUGCAUACGGGUUUUCAAUUUUCGAAGCCUCGAAACCUAUCACGCGACUUCUAAUACCCCGCCAGGCGACCCCCUUUUUUGGGUCACGCCCACAGUUCCUAAAACGACAUUGAAUAGGCCCCAAGCUCCACGGUCCAAAUGGAGUGGAACCCAAACAUGUGGCAGGGGGUCAAUGUGAACACUGAAGAAAUUCCACAUGAAAUUGCUCAGCUUACCUUUUUUUGGUCAGAGCUCAGCUUACCUUAAAAAAAUCAACCCUCCAAAAAGGACAAGAAAUUCAAUCAUGAUCCCUCCUCCCUCCCUCAGUCUUCCGCCUUAUUCAACGACAAUUGCUCAUAACUUUUGUCUCUCCAGCUAAACCGCAUUGUAUAUUCUCUCUCUCUCUCUCGUGGGCAUUAGAGGUGUUAAACGGGUGGAUCGAGUUAUUAAUGAUCCGAUCCAAAUUGACCCAUUAACCCAUGUAUGACCCAUUUAUGCCUAAUGUAAAUUUUCCGAUCAAUAUCCGACUCAAUCCAUACUUGACCUAUGCCCAACUCAUUAAACUAAACUUAAAAAAGAUUACUUCUUAUACAUAUGUUUAAAAAAAAUAGUAUUGCUAAAACAAUUUUAUACAACACAAAUUUAAUGAACAAUUUUUAUAAUUUUUUUCUUUUUUAUUCUUCUUCUUCUUUGGCCAGUAGCCUGCCACAGGCGAGCCUCGCCAGAUCUGGCGAGCUCGAGGCUCAUCGGCGUUAGGUGAGCUCGAGCUCGCCCUUCGCCGGAUCUAGCGAGGCUUGAGCCUCACUGGACGUUGGCGAGGCCUCCGUCUCGCUAAAUUUGGCGAGCUCGAGGCUCGCCGGUGUCGGGCGAGCUUGAGCUCGCCCCUCGCCAGAUUCGGCAAUUUUUUCUUUCUUCUUCCUCUGGUCGCCGGCACGGUGAUGGCCGGCGACUAGCCAAGCCAGCCUCGAGCUCACUAGAUUUAGCAAGGCGGAGGCCUCGCUGACGUCCAGCGAGCCUCGAGCUCGCACGACGCUGGUGAGCUCGAGGCUGGCUUGGCUAGUCGCCGGCCAUCACCGUGCCGGCGACCAGAGGAAGAAGAAAGAAAAAAUUAAAAAAAAAAUUAUAAUUUCAAAUUUUUAUAAAGUUAUAUAGAGAAGAGAGUCUCUCUAUAAAUGAAUUUAUUUUUAGUAGGUUGAUAAAUAGGUCUUAUAUAUCUCAGCCUUUUUAUUUUUAAAACUCAUUAUGAAUACUUUAAAAAAUAAGGCUUCACCCGUUAACGAUCGAUUUAAGUCUAUAAAUGGGUCAAUGACCCAUUUUGACACCUCAGCAUAUAUAAAGACUCAAUUUUUAACCACUCCGCACACAAAACACACGGAAAAUCUCCAGAGACACCCCCGAACCUCCAUUGCCACUCCUCGCUUCACCUUCUCCUUCACCUGCUUCCUCCAUCUCCCGAAGCUCCUCAUCCACCGCUCCGCCAUGGACACCAACAUCGGAGCGCUCAACUCAUGCAAGCCCCCCUGUAACGACGUCGGGUCGCCCCCCAACAGCGCGGCUGCGGCGAUCCAGAGCCCAGCACCUGCGCCCGCGGCGGUCGGCUCCGCCAACGCCACCAUGGGCCGCCACCUCACCCGCUGGCUCGUCCAGUUCGGUGUCACCGACGUCUUCUCCGUCCCUGGGGACUUCAACCUCACGCUCCUCAACCACCUCAUCGCUGAGCCCGGGCUCAACCUCAUCGGCUGCUGCAACGAGCUCAACGCCGGGUACGCCCCCGAUGGCUACGCCCGCGCUCGGGGCGUCAGGGCCUGGGUCGUGACGUUCACCGUCGGCGGGCUCAGCGUGCUCAAUGCCAUCGCCGGGGCCUACAGCGAGAACCUGCCGGUGGUCUGCAUCGUCGGUGGGCCCACCUCCAACGAUUACGGGACGAACUGGGUACUUCACCAUACCAUCGGGUUGCCUGAUUUCAGCCAAGAGCUUCGGUGUUUUCAGACUGUUACUUGCUUCCAGGUAUCUCUUCGGUCCCCUCUCCAUAAUUCUUUUUGCUGAAACUAAUAUUUUAUUCGGAUCGAUCUUUGUCUGAAGUGUGUAUAUUGACUAGAAACAUGGCUUCGAAGACUUUCCGGAGUUAGUCAUAUUAUAAUGCUUGUCUCGCUUCUUGGAUCUCGUUGUUUGCGGUGGGUCUGUUCUGUGAGAUUAUAGCAAUCUACUAAUUGUUGCUUUAAUAAUUUGGCAUGGGAGUCCGAGUUAGAGUUUUUGCAUGGAUUGUUGUAAAAGGGGUAUGUAUGUUAAGUGCAGAUCGAAUGAACUGAUUUGUUGAUUGUCUCCGUUUCGCCUUUUCCAGGCUACGGUGAAUAAUUUGGAAGAUGCACAUGAACUGAUCGAUUCUGCGAUCUCAACUGCUUUGAAAGAAAGCAAGCCCGUUCACAUAAGCAUUAGCUGCAACUUGCCUGCCUUACCUCACCCGAUAUUCAGUCGCGAGCCGGUUCCAUUUGCACUCUCUUCCAAGUAAUUCUCCAUCUGUUCACUCGAUUGAGUCUGUUUGCUGCAUUAGAUUAUGAUUAGAGUGAAGUGAUUGACUGAAUUUUAUUGACACAGAUUGACUAAUCAGAUGGGAUUGGUAGCUGCAGGCAGCUGCAGAGUUCUUGAACAAGGUCGUGAAGCCAGUAAUGGUGGGUGGCCCAAAACUCUGGGUUGAGAAAAAUUAUUCAAAAAAUUAUAAACCUAUUGAGUCCUAAACAUUUUUACUUCUUGUCAAUUGAGUUUAUCCGGCCAAUUUUGGUCGGAAAAUACUGACAUGGAUACUGGCAGAGUGCCACAUGGACCACCAGUGCUAACAUGGAUAAUUUUUAAUAUUUUUUCUGUCUUUUUUUUUUUUUACUUUUUUUAUUUCUUUUCUUUUUAGCUUUCUUCUUUGCCUUUUCCGGUGGCCAACCGACCACACGUCACAACCAGACUGCUGGCCUCCCUAGCCAUAGGUGAGGCCCAAUUGGGCGAGGGCUAGCCUUGGCAAGGGGAGCCCUCACCCAAGCACGGCUUGGCAAGUGUCACUUGGGCAAGGUUGACCUGCGCCUAAGCUAAGGCGGCCGACACAGGCGACAACAACAGCAAUGGCGAGUGAUGCCGCCCUAGCCUGGGCGAGGACCGGCCUCGCUAGAUCUGGCAAAGGGAGCCAUUGCCGGGGCUCACCCUCAUUUAGGCGAGUGUUGGCCUCACCUAGACCAGAUCUAGUGAGGUCAACCCUCGCUGGGCAAGGUCGCCUAGCCAACACUCGGCAAGGCUGCCUUAGCUUGGGCGCAGGUUGAACUCGCCUAGGCAACCCUUCUCAGGUGUCACCUAGGCGAGGGCUCCCCUCGCUGGACCUCGCCCUUGCCCAGCCAGGCCUCACCUAUGGUGGGCGAGGCUAGCUGCAGCAAAGGCAAAGAAGAAAGCCAAAUUUUUUAAAAAUAAUAAUAUAAUUAAAAGAAAAACAGAGGGAAAAACAAAAAAAUUAAUAAAAAUUCAAAGAAAUAUUAAAAUAUUAUUAAAAAUUGUCAAUGUCAGCACCAACGGUCCUACGUGGUACUGCCGGCAUCAAUGUUAGCAUUUUCCAUUCAAAAUUGGCCGGAUGAAUUCAAUUGGUAAAAAGUAAAAAUAUUUAUAACUUAAUUGACAAAGUUAAAAGAUUUAGGACUGAAUUGACAAAAAUGCAAUAGGUUUAAGACUUUUGGACAAUUUUCCCUUUCGGGUUGCCAAGGCUUCUGAAGCCUUCAUAGAGCUAGAUGAUGCAUGUGGCUAUGAGUAGCUGUGAUGCCGUAGGCAAAAGUCAACCGUUUGACUUUUUGAAUUUUCGGUAAAAAUGAGCAAAAAAUCACUUAAAAAUGACAAACCAAAAGAAAGAAAGGAAAAACGAUACUUUUUGUUUGAGAAACAAGCCUUGUCGUUGUUAGGAAAAUCCCUUAUGAUGUUUUGAAGAUGACAAAAUAAAUCAAAUGCUACUAACAUGUUUAAUGGUUAAGUAAUAGACCAUGUAGAUGAUAGAACAUAUAAAAGAUAUUGUCAAAGUCAGAAGACUGAACGUAACACAUGUCCAAAAUAUAUUCUGAAGAUUUCCAGACUUCUGUGUCAAAGUCUAAAGACUGCCAGACUUUAGUGUCAAAGUUAGUCAAAGUCUCUUCUACAUCAGAAGUCUGUUAACUCUAAUAAAUUCCAUAUUGAACGUGAAUGAUGAAUCAGAAGAUAGACUCUAUGCUGAAGCUGAACCAGAAGACAGACUCUAUGCUGAAGCUGAACUGGGUACAGAUCUUAAAGCUAAAUCUGUUCAGAAACAGAAUAUGUUUAGACUCAGAUUGAAAAGUCUAUCGCACUCAGACUUAGAUUGUAAAGUCUAUUACUCUCAGACUUUACAUCCAGAUUCGUCAGAACGUAACUCAAGUCGAAUCAUAUAACGGCUAGUGAUCUGGUUUGGAUUCCACAUCAAGAUUGAUUUGAUCGAUUCAAUCUAAUUGAUUGACGAUUGGAUAUUGAAGAUAAGAACUUUCUAUACGAAGAAGCUUUACUUAUGGAAACCAAGAUUCCAUUUGUAUGGGCGAUUGGAAUCGAUUUGGGAUUUUACCUUUGUCACUCAACGUCUACCAAAUCUUCUAGAUAUAAAGCUGUCCAAUGGGUAUAUUGGAAGACGAUCCUCAAGAUACUGUCCAACAGGUAGUUUGGAAGUGGAGGAGUAUUUAAGGAGAUGAAUGACCGAUGAGCAAGUAAGAGAUAGAGCGUAGAAUUAAUUCCAAAGUCUGAGCAAUCUUCGAUCAUACACUUGUUUUUUGAGAGCUUAAACGUUUGUGAUCAUGAGAGAAAUACCAAAAGAGUGACUUAGUGAGAUAGUGUGAUCUACUAAGUGUUUGCACUUGAAGUUGUAAUCUCUUGUUGAUUGCAUAGUGGAAUUCAGCCAAGAAGGCUGUUAGCGUGGGAGAGUGGACGUAGGCUUGGAUUAAGCCGAACUACUAUAAAUCUUGUGUUCUUAUUCUCUUCCCUAACUCCUUUGUUUGAAGUUUAUUUUAUUCCGCAUAUAUUUGCCAAUGUUUAUUUUAAACACCUAUUCACCCCCCUCUAGGUGUUCAUACUAGCACUCUCAAUUGGUAUCAGAGCCAAGUGCUCGGUUUAUAAAAUUGUUUUUACUUUUGAGCUAAAGAUUCUUUAUGGCUAGUAUCUUGGCACUGGGACUUAUGGAAAGGCAAAGCAAUACAAGGCCACCAUAUUUUGAUGGAAAGGAAUACAACGUGUGAAAGAACAAAAUGAAAGCAUUCCUAAGAUCUUGAGAUCCCUUACAAUGGGAUGUUGUGGAAAAAGGAAUCAAUCCCACUGUCGCGUCUACAUCAAAUAAGAAUGGCAAUGACAAAGAAAUCAAACCCCCCGCUCCUAUGUCUCAGAUGGAGAUGUCCAAAAGAGAAGCGCUUGAUGCAAAAGCAAUUUAUUCUUUAUAUUACGCCUUGUCUCCUGCUGAAUAUAACAGAAUCUCUGCAUGUGAAACAUCAAAAGAAGUUUGCGAUAGACUUCAUGUUACAUAUGAAGGGAUCGAUCGUGUAAGAGAGACAAAAGUAAACUUCCUGCUCGGCAAAUAUGAAUCCUUCAAGAUGAAGCAAGGAGAGUCAAUUGGAGAUAUGUUCAGCCGUUUUACAGAAAUUGUAAAUGGUUUAACAUAUCAAGGUCAGCAAAUUUCUACCCCGAUGAAGGUCAACAAACUCUUACGAGGUCUCUCAAAAGAUUGGAACCAUGUCAAGACCUCAAUCCGGGAAACUCAGAGGAUUAUGCCACUUUCCGUUGAUGAAUUGAUUGGCACUCUUCAAUCCUAUGAAGUGGAACAACUCAACGAUGAAGAUCCCGAAGGUAAGAAGUCCAUCGCUUUAAUAUCUAAUGCUGUUUUUGAUGAAACAGACUCAGAAAAUGACAUGUACAACAAAGAAUUUGCUUUUAUGAUCGAGAAAUUCAAAAAGCUCAGUAGAAAAAAGGAAGGAAGUUUAGUGUAAGACAAUACAAGCAGAAUGGCCAAAAAAGAAUAAUGAAAGAAGAUGAUGAGCAAGGAAAUAUAUGCUAGACGGCACAUUCAGAAUUUGAGUCUGACUCAGACACAGACUCAUAAUCCGAUGAAGAAAUCGAGGUAAAUCAUUCAAAAAUUCCUCUCAAAGUUUCAAAGUAUAUAAAUGAGCUUUGCUUAAAUCUCAAAUCUUCUCUUAAAAGGAUCUCUGAACUUAAAAAGGAGAAUUCUCGACUUAGGCAACAUGAUCUUUCUCAAAAAGAAAAUUUUGAAAUUUUGCAAAAAGAUUUUCUACAAACAAAAGAAAGUUGAGAUUUACUUGUCAAAGAAAAUAAUUCUUUGAAGAAAGAAUUUUCAAAUAUUUCGACAAGAUUUUCAAAUGGAUCAAAAACAUUAGAGCAUAUCCUCUCUAUACAAGUUCCUUACUAUAAUAAAUCAGGAUUUGGUUUCAAUAAGGAAAGUGAUUUUCUAAUUGAUUUUCCUAAAGUCAAGGAGAGACUUAAACAAAGACCUCCAAAGACAUUAUACAAAAAUCAUUUUCAAAAAGUGUUUGUAAAACCUGUUGGUUGAAAUGCCCUCAAAUGUUCAAAUUGUGGAGAUUCAAAACACUUUGAGAAAUAUUGUCCUAAAGACUGGAGACCUAUCAAGAAAAAAUGGGUAAAAACAGCACACUCUACUAACUCUCAUGGACCCAAGAAAAAAUGGGUACCAAAGAAAAGAUGAGUUAUUUUUGCAGGAAAUAAAGGAAGAGAAGAAAGAGAGUUUGGUAAGGAAUUUUUUUAUUCUCAAUUUGAUUUGGGCAAUAAUUCUCAUAUUCGAUAUAUCCUUGGUUGAUUGAGAUUUUAUAAUGAUCAUAUUUUGCUUUAUGGAAGAAAGAAUCGUAUGAUUUGUUUUUGUGAUUUGUGAGUUGAGAUUUGAUUUAGUACGUGUGAUUAUUUGAGAUAAUUCAGAUUAUUUUGUCUAAUUUUAUACUCCAGAUUUAAUCAUAUUUUGCAAAGUGAAAAUCUGUUUUACGUGAUGAUGCAAGAUAUUCUUAGAUAUUCAAAGAUUUCAUUCUCCCUGAUUUUAUUGUGCUUUGACUAAGUGAGAAUUUAUUUUUCAAAAUAUCAUUGUGCAUAAUAUUCUUUCUUUGAAUACUUUGUUACGAUGAAUUAAGAAAGAAUAUUAUAUUUGAUUAUGGAGAUUUUCUAUUUUACUCUAACGUCAAGGAAGGAUCCAAAUUAAUGGAUACUAAAAAGGGAAAUGAGUUGAUUGCAGGAAAUUCAAUAAGGCAAGAAUGAUUGCAAAUCUAUGCAAAUUUUGGCGCAAUUAGAAAAAUAUCUCCUAUGAAGAUUGGUAAUGAUUUUUUUUAACGGUAUAUUUCAAACAUAUACCAUGGGUAAGAGAAUUUUUUUUAUCAUCCCGCCUUGCAAAUUUCUACGUGUAUUUAUCAUGAUUUUGGAUAGUUGUUUAUUAUAUUGCGAAUAUCUUUCGUCAUAAAUAUAAGGUUUGCAAUUUUGGCACGUGACAGAAAUAUCUAUUUUCCUUUUGCAAAAUGCAUAUCUAAAAUUUAUGCUCAAGGAAAUCUCUUUGAUCUCGAAAGAUAUUAUUGCAUAUUUAUGGAUACUCUUGCUAUAUUCUUAGAAGAUAUAUUAUAUCUAGCAAGUUUGAUCCGCAAAUCAAAGGAAGAUAUUACGUGACAUUUUUGCAAAUAUGAUUAUCUAUUAUACAAGAUUUUGCAUGUGAUAAUAGAAUCUUCCAUAUGAAUUUUGGAAAGCUUGAUCAGAAAUUUGUGAAGAUUCUAUACUAUCUUCUGGAGGUUCAAAGAUUCCAUUCCUUAUGCAAAAUUUUUGCAAAUUGUUGAGGAAAUCCCUUAUGUAUCGUAUGAAAGGUUGAGUAGUUCUGAAUUUUAAUUUUACAUAUGCUACUCAAUUUAUUUAUUUGGAGAAAGGGUAUUAUAUAUUACGUGGAUAUUAUUACAGCUUAUUUGUGGAAAAAGUUUGUUAAGUUUAUGCAGGUUGAAUUCGAGAUGAGCUUGGUUAAAGAAAAUAAAUUUUUGCCUAGAAUUUCAAAAUGCAAGUGAUCAUUGCGGGUGUUGUUGCUACAAAGGAAAUACUGGAAAAAUAUUAUGUUCAACGUGCACAAGCAACAAUUCUAUUCGCAAAUAUUGUCAUGAUCACAGGGGGAGAAAGCAAAUCCAAAAGAAAAGGAAAAGAAUCGUGAUCAUCUCAAAAAUACAACAAAUUGAGGGGGAGCAUUGAUCAAUUAUGGAAAAAUCUUUUUGGAUUGAUCAUGACCUUAUUAUGAAUGGAAUGAAAUGUAAACGUGUCAGAAUUUGUUCUAAAAAAACCGGUUAGUGCAUCUUUUUUUACCUUUGUCAUUAACAAAUAUUUUAUUGAUUUUAUUAUGACAAAAAGGGUAUGUGCAAGUUAUGAUGCAUCCGUGAUUUUUAUUGGAUAUUUGCUGAGAUAUAUGAUCAAAGUGAGCUAUAUUGCGUAUUUUUAAUAUUCGAUUUACCUUAUAAAAGCUAAUUUUUGGAAAUUAUGCAAGACAUAUUUGUUAUCAUUCUCUAUGUGAUACUUUUUCCAUCAUAAUCGCUUUUUGAUUAUGACAAAAAGGGGGAGAAGAUAUGAAUAUGCAUAUGUGUUGAUUGGUUAAUAUUAUUUAUUGCAUGAUAUUGAGCUGCGAUUAUUUUUCUAUAUAUUGUUAUGCUCAAUCUAUUUGCUAUCUUCUGAUAUCCUUUUAUUUAAAUUAAUAUUUUUAAAAGCAUGUUUACAAAUCUGCAUAUUCAGAGAUUGUUUUGUCAUCAUAAAAAAUUGGGAGAUUGUUAGGGAAAUCCCUUAUGAUGUUUUGAAGAUGACAAAAUAAAUCAAAGGCUACUAACAUGUUUAAUGGUUAAGUAAUAGACCAUGCAGAUGAUAGAACAUGUAAAGGAUAUUAUCAAAGUCAGAAGACUGCCAGAAGACUGAACGUAACACAUGUCCAAAGUAUAUUUUGAAGAUUUCCAGACUUCUAUGUCAAAGUCUGAAGAUUUCCAGACUUCUGUAUCAAAGUCUGAAGACUGCCAGACUUUAGUGUCAAAGUCUGUUCUAUAUCAGAAGUCUGUCAACUCCGAUAAAUUCCAUAUUGAACGUGAAUGAUGAACCAGAAGACAGACUCUAUGCUGAAGCUGAACCAGAAGACAGACUUUAUGUUGAAGCUGAACUGGGUACAGACCUUAAAGCUAAAUCUGUUCAGAAGCAGAAUAUGUUUAGACUCAGAUUGAAAAGUCUAUCGCACUUAGACUCAGAUUGUAAAAUCUAUUGCUCUCAGACUUUACAUCCACAUUCGUCAGAACGUAACUCAAGCCGAAUCAUAUAACGGCUAGUGAUCUGGUUUGGAUUCCACAUCAAGAUUGAUUUGAUUGAUUCAAUCUAAUUGAUUGACGAUUGGAUAUUGAAGAUAAGAACUUUCUAUACGAAGAAGCUUUACUUAUGGAAACCAAGAUUCCGUUUGUAUGGGCGAUCGGAAUCAAUUUGGGAUUUUACCUUUGUCACUCAACGGCUACCAAAUCUUCUAGAUAUAGAGCUGUCCAAUGGGUAUAUUGGAAGACGAUCCUCAAGAUACUAUCCGAUGGGUAGUUUGGAAGUGGAGGAGUAUUUAAGGAGAUGAAAGACCGAUGAGCAAGUAAGAGAUAGAGCGUAGAAUUUAUAAUUUCAAAGUCUGAGCAAUCUUUGAUCAUACACUUAUCUUUGGAGAGCUUAAACGUUUGUGAUCGUGAGAGAAAUACCAAAAGAGUGACUUAGUGAGAUAGUGUGAUCUACUAAGUGUUUGCACUCGAAGUUGUAAUCUCUUGUUCAUUGCAUAGUGGAAUUCAGCCAAGAAGGCUGUUAGCGUGGGAGAGUGAACGUAGGCUUGGAUUAAGCCGAAUCACUAUAAAUCUUGUGUUCUUAUUCUCUUCCCUAACUCCUUUGUUUGAAGUUUAUUGUAUUCCGCAUAUAUUUGCCAAUGUUUAUUUUAAACACCUAUUCACCCCCCUCUAGGUGUUCAUACUAGUACUCUCAGUCGUGAUUCAGAAAUCUCAAUCUUGGUUUUCUUGCCUUUAACGAUGCAUUGACUGAAAAUUAGCUAUCAAUACCACCCAGAUCAUAAUGAUUUGCAUCUCCAGUGGAAAUAGCUACAGCUCCUACCAUCAGACUUAACUAACUCCAAGCUGAUAUCUAAGAGAUCAAGACCACCCUCUCUUGAUUAACUUGAUAUCUCAUCAAGAUUGAACGCACACUCAUCUUGAACUAUCUCAUCAAGAUUAUGCCAAUGAAGUGGGGAUGGUGCUCGAGCAUGUGGGAUAGCAUACUUGCCACAAAUUCUUUUUCAUUUUCCCUUACUUGUAUCAUGGGCAAAUUUUCUAGCUCAAGACGCUCAGGCAACAAAAUUCAAGAAAAGGUCAUCCAAAUCCUCCUAACAUUCUAUUUAGCUCAUACCAACCUCUAGAUCCUCUGAGCUUUCAACACUCUUCACUGUAAAUGCUUUUGUUUCUCUUAAUCCUCCUCUUGAAUUUUGCUGGAAAAUCUCCUUAAGUCUACGUACAGACUUAAUUUGCCAUGGUCCACAUGGAGGAGCAUCUUGAUUCUUAACUUAGGCCUUCAACAAGCCUGGUCAAGUUCCUUAUUGCUCUUGAGAAAGAUAACAUUUUGAUUGAUUUGUCAAGGACUUCUUGAUGGAUGGCUUAUGGUAUUUAUAGCGAAGGUAUGAUAACCGUUCAGUGGUUGCAUCUUCUCUAGUAAUUGCCACUGGCUCUGUCCAUGUUCCUUUAUUCCGGUAGAUCACUUUGCCCAUACUUCAUAUAACCGUCCUAAUUGUAUUUUGAGUAUUGUGUAGAUAUCGAUGGUCGUUCCACGACUAUUUUACAACGUGUGUCUUUGAUACUGACUAUGUUGGAGCCUUGAUUAAUGUUCGGUGUCUCUAUUUAAAAAGUUGCCGCCAAGGUUCAUAGGGGUGGCCACCAACCAUUUGUCAUCUAAUUUCAACAAUGAGACACGUGGCAUUUCUUUAUCUUAUCGUCAAUAGUCAUGCAUCAGACAUCAUCCAUGACAGGCACGGUUGGUAUCAACACAAACAUGGGAUGACAAUGAUCCGAGGAUGGUCGGUCUCAUUUUGUUUACUGUAGAGGGACAUGAAGAGGGCUACCCAACUCGUCAUUUUCUAUUGCAAAGCCAAACAAACCAGUGGCCAAAUGCAACUUGAUGUCGCCGUCUAUCCAGCCGAUGUAUCAUCAAAAUGUAUCUUUUACUUUUCAGAAAGCAAUGUUAAAUUUCAUGAAACUGGUUUUCGUAUAUCGUAUAAUUUGGAAUUUUCAAUUAAAUAUUAAAUCACUUUGUCAUAAGUAUUACUUAACAUGGUUAUUUUGCAGAUUGAUUUCAACAUGGUUCCGGCUUAACUCAACAUUAGGGGUGUGCAAAAUGGAUAGCCCGAACUAGAAACAACCUGAAUCAGAUUCGGUCAUGUUCUCAGGAGUGUUGGUUUGGUUCUCGAGUCCUAAAAGUAAAACCAGUGUCCGGAUAGUCUUGUUCCUAGUUCCAAUGGGAAACCAGACUAGACUGACUAUGUAUAUUUUUUUAAAUUUCUUUUAAAAAAUAAAAGUGACCAGUCUUUUUAUUAUUAUUUCUUCAUAAUAGAAGGCAUUAAGUAAUGGAAAGAAAAAAUUAACCGAUUUCAUAACUAUUCAAUCAAAUGAUGUUGAGGCUAUUUCCCAUCUCUUCUUGAGAAAGAAGUGGGCUAUUUCUUUGCAAAAGACUGAAUUGGUCUAGAUUCUAAACUAGUCCUUUCGGUUCAGGAACCGAUCACCACUACUUAAGAUGAGGGUGAAAGAAUAAGACACUAGGAGAAAAGGAUAGACUUGGAAAUAAGGAGGUGGCCUUUCAUACGGGAUGAAUUUUGAUCAUUAAGCCAGCGUUGCGUGCGAGGUGCACGUGGAAUGAAAAGAUGCUCCGGCUAAUGAACAUUGAAUGGGAUUUUGUCUAGGAGAAUAAUUUCGCCACUUUCACUGCAUUUAUUGAAAAACGUAAGCAUCUUUAAUUAGUACCCUCGAGACAUUCAUUGACAAAAUCCACCUAUAAAUUAGGUACGUGCACAUUCGAGAAUAGAAAAGGUAAUUGCUCUAUCUCGAAACCCAUACUUAAGGAAUUGGAUCCAAAUAUUCUUUGAAAUCCAAAAAUCUCUUGCGUUAUCUCAAAAUUGCUCAAAACUUUUAACUUGCCAGUUUCAUUGGUUCAAAAGUACUUUGUACUACUCGAAAAAAAAAAUUAUAAUACUUGAUCCCAAGAAAAAAAUAUGUGGCUUUUAAAAAAAAAAAAAAAAAAAAACAUCUCGAUUCCAAUUCUCAACACAUUCGACAUCCGGCUCAUUCAUAAUAGAUAAAUUUUUAUGGCUAACAUUGUUGUAAUCUCGACACACAACAAACAUCGAAAGUAAAAUCAAAUAAUUAAAUGUACUUAAUCGACACAUGUCAGGUCAGCAGAUGAGGUGAUCCGAAUAUUUUCUCAGCUCAAGGUGUUUGAGCAGGUCUUUCCCCCCUCACGGCUCUUCGCGCCCUCUCGCCUAUUUAAAGACUCCAUUUUUAACUUACCCCUCAACGAACCUCCACUGCACCUCCUUGCUUCACCUCCUCCAGCCUCUCCUCCAUGGACACCACCGUCGGCGACCUCAACUCCCGCAAGCCGACUCAAGCGGCAUUGGGUCGCCCCCCAGUGGCACCACCUCGGUGAUGCAGAGCCCGGCCCUCCCGCACGCCCCGGCCGCCGGCCCCCCUGAUGCCACCAUGGGCCGCUACAUCGCCCGCCGGCUCGUCCAGAUUGGCGUCACCGACGUCUUCUCCGUCCCCGGAGACUUCAACCUCGUGCUCCUCGACCACCUCAUCGCCGAGCCGGGGCUCAACCUCGUCGGCUGCUGCAAUGAGCUCAAUGCUGGGUACGCUGCCGACGGCUACGCCCGAGCAAGGGGCGUCGCGGCCUGCGGGCUCAGCGUGCUCAACGCGAUCGCCGGCGCGUACAGUGAGAACCUGCCGGUGGUCUGCAUCGUCGGUGGGCCCAACUCGAACGACCAUGGGCAGAGCAGGGUAAUUCACCAUACCAUCGGCAUGCCUGAUUUCAGCCAAGAACUUAGGUGUUUUCAGACUAUUACUUGCUUUCAGGUAUCUCUUCGGUCCCCGUUCUAUUAUUCUUUUUGCUGACACUAAUUUUUAUGUGGAUCUGAUCUUUAUCUUAGGAAAGAUGUGUAUGUUGACUGGAAAUAUUGCUCAGAGGAUCUCAUCGUUUGUUGCUGUUGGGGUCUUAGCAUAGAUUUUUGGGACAGGAGUAUGUAUGUUAAAUGCACAUCGGAUGGACUGAUUAGUUGAUUGUUUCCGUUUCGCCUUUUUCUAGGCUGUGGUGAAAAACUUGGAAGAUGCACAUGAACAGAUCGAUACCGCGAUCUCGACUGCUCUGAAAGAAAGCAAGCCCGUUUACAUAAGCAUAAGCUGCAACUUGCCUGCCAUACCUCACCCGGCUUUUUGUCGCGAGCCAGUUCCAUUUGCACUCUCUCCCAAGUAAUUUUCCAUAUGUCCAAUUGAUAGAGUCUAUUUGCUAUAUUAGGUUAUGAUCAGAGUGAUGUGAUUGAUUAAUUUUCGUUGACACAGAUUAACUAAUCAGAUGGGAUUGGAAGCUGCAGUAGAGGCAGCUGCAGAGUUCUUGAACAGGGCAGUGAAGCCGGUAAUGGUGGGUGGCCCGAAACUCCGUGUUGCAAAGGCUUCUAAUGCCUUCGCAGAACUAGCCGAUGCGUGUGGCUUUCCUGUAGCUGUGAUGCCAUCGGCCAAAGGGCUUGUGCCCGAGCACCAUCCCCACUUCAUUGGCACUUACUGGGGUGUGGUGAGCACUGCAUUCUGUGCUGAGAUUGUGGAAUCCGCAGAUGCCUACUUAUUUGCUGGGCCCAUUUUCAAUGACUACAGCUCCCUUGGGUACUCCCUCAUUCUCAAGAAGGAGAAGGCCAUUAUUUUGCAGCCUGAUAGGGUUGUGAUUGGAAAUGGACCCUCUUUUGGUUGUGUUCUGAUGAAGGAUUUUCUUGAAGCACUCUCAAAGAGGGUUAAACGGAACACAACUGCUUAUGAGAAUUAUCACAGAAUUUAUGUUCCAGUGGGCCCCCCAAGGAGCCCUUGAGGGUGAAUGUCCUCUUCGAGCACAUACAGGACAUGCUCUCUAGUGAAUCAGCUGUGAUUGCUGAGACUGGAGAGUCUUGGUUCAACUGCCAGAAGCUGAAAUUACCAAGAGGCUGCGGGUAAGUGGGUGUCAUUGUGUAAAAAUUCAAUCCCUUGUCUUUAACUUUUUGAUCUGGAGCUACUUGAAGAAAACAAACUGAAAUUGUUUAAAUGGGGGUAUGCAGGUACGAGUUCCAAAUGCAGUAUGGAUCUAUUGGAUGGUCCAUUGGCGCAACUCUUGGGUAUGCACAGGCAGUGCCAGAGAAGAGUCAUUGCAUGCAUUGGAGAUGGUAGCUUCCAGGUAUGGAAUGGUUUCUGAUAUCUGUUGCAUUGCUAAGCACAUUCGAACGGACCAUCAUGAAUGAGGUAGUUAUGCAUAGAGCUUCUGUCAAGAAGAUAUCCACUAGUUUUGCAAGCUCAGCCUAUAAAGAUGCUAGUAAUCCUGUUGAGCAAUUUGCAAAGGUGGAGUUAUGUCAUACAAUACAAGUCAUGCACUGAACUCAUUCAUUUCCUUCCCUUUUCCUACUGAAUUUGAUUUUUUUGAUCUUGUCGUGUUGAUGGAAUGUAAGAGAUGAGUAAUGUCUGUGGAAUUCAUGGGGUGAUUUUCACACUCUAGGCAACUGCCCAAGAUGUGUCGACUAUGCUGCGAUGUGGGCAAAACAACAUCAUCUUCCUGAUAAACAAUGGUGGCUACACCAUUCAAGUUGUGGUCCGUGAUGGUCCCUACAAUGUGAUCAAGAACUGGAAUUACACUGGCCUGGUGGAAGCGAUUCACAACGACGAGGGCAAGUGCUGGACAGCUAAAGUAAGUUGCUUGUAUGCGAGUUACAGGGGCGACAAUUUGCUAAUUCAGGAAAUGCCUCCAUAGUGAGACAAUAAAAUCCAAUGUUUGCAGGCUCUCUACGAGGAGGAGCUUAUUGAAGCGAUUCAGACAGCGACAGGGCCCAAGAAGGAUUGCUUGUGCUUCAUAGAGGUGAUAGUUCACAAGGAGGACACCAGCAAAGAGGUUCUGGAAUGGGGGGCCCGCAUCUCGGCCGCCAAUGGUCGCCAUCCCAAUCCUCAGUAGAAGCCUUGAUUCUCAUCAGUAUGUUGCUUCAAAUACUACUGUAAUUCAAAACAGAGCAUCUUCUCGAGUAUUGCCAAUGCUCCGCGAAAUGAAAAUAACCAUGUCUCCUGAUUGGUGAUAUUGAUAAUAUAUGUUGACCAUCGGCUUCGGAUCGACAUCUUAAAUAUGUGGAAGGAACAACUGCGAAUGCGCAAAUUUUGUUCGGUGGGCUUGGAGCCGGGGACAGGGGCUUCCAUGAAUGCAUGCAUUGCCUAAAAUCUAUCUUCGAUUGGUAUGGGGAUCUUGAAGUAGCCUUAUCAAAUGAGUGGGUCAUGUCGGGUUUGGGUAAGAUUAUAAAUGGUUUGACCAAACUGACCUCUUUACUCAUUUAUUCAUAAUGCAAAUCCAUUAACUUAUACCCAACCUGAUCCAUACCCAACUUAUGUUACUAGAACACUUUCAUAUUUAAUCUAAUGUAGGAAAACUCAUAUCCAAACUUAAGUGAGAGUGUGGGAGCAAGUGAGCAUGAGAUCGAGUGAGAGCGAGAGAAAAUGAAGAGAGAGUCAUAAAAGUAGAUUGGGUCUAAUUAAAUUGUAAAUCCAGUUAUGACUCAUUUACAACCCAUUGAGCACUUGUGUUAUGUUAAAACUCAUUUAUGACUUGUUUACGAGGUACGGAUAUCUGGAUUGCUAAAACUUAGCACGAAGGGACACUUAAGUGCCAAAAGUUUGGAGUGUGACGCUUAAAUGCCAAAAUCGGAGUAAAAUAAAUCAUUUAAGUGCUACUCCAACCAAAAUCCGACCAAAAUGCUGACGUUGCAAUUUUCUGAUGAAGGAAGUGCAAAACGACGCCAUUUUGCAUACUGACGUGGCUAGACAACACAAAAACGAUGUCGUUUUGGUGCUGAUGUGGUAAAAAAGUUAAUAUAAAAAUUAAUUAAAUUAAAUUUAAAACUAAAUUUAUUUAAAACAUUUAAAAAUAAAAUAAAAAUAUUAAAAAAACUAAAAAACAAUUAAAAAAGGGGCAGGUGGCGAAGGGGGAGGGUCGGCUGGGAACAUAUCAUGUAACUUCUAAGGGUUUAUUUGGUAAUAUUUUUGUUCCUAGGAACAAUUUUGAACAUAAAAAUGUGUUUGGUAACUAUACAAGAAUUCUAUUCCUGGAAUAGGAAAAGAUUGAAAAUAUGUUUGGUAUGACUCUAAAAAUUUCUAUUCCCAAUUUUUUUUAUUUAAUUAUAAAAAUAUUUUAAAUUUCAUAUUUGGAUAAAACUAGACUUUUGUAAUAAUUUGAUUGAUCAAGAUAUUUUAAAAUGACCUAAGAAAAUCCAACAAAAUAGUUAGUCAAAAAUGGAUGGUUGAAAUCGGAAAUAGAGAGUCCCAUUGGUUUAUAACUUACAAUAUAAGGAGGUUGGUAGUAAAUUUUUGGGCAUUACAAUAAACAAAUGUAUAGUUUUUUAGCGAAAAAGAGUAAAUGUUGCUUGGAGUCAUCAAGCUUUUGUGACCUAAAAUUGUCUCUACAAGAAAUAACAUUGAAAAAUCCAUAUAGUAAAGCUCUUAAAGCUUAUUCAAUUUUGAAUCCAAUUUUCACCAAAAUAUUUUCACAUUUCUUAUGAUAAACUAAUUCUAAACUAGAAUUAACAUUCAAAUAUAGUAAAACUACACAAGUUCUAAUUUCUAAAUUUAUUCCUUAUUUUAUUUUUUCCAAAAAAUGAGACUUGGAUUGGUCAGGGACCUUGUGUUGAUUGUGCAAAGACAAGUAUUAAAUUAUAUUGAGCUUGUUAUUCUAAAAUGACCUUAUUUUUAUUUUGUUCACGGGAACAAAGAGUAAGUUUUUCUACUUUAUUCUGAAGCUGAGGAAGGGUCGUGCGUGUGGGAUAGCAUACUUGCCAAAAAUUUUGUUUUCAUUUUCCAUAUCAUAAGCAAAUUUUCUAGCUUAAGAUGCUCAGGCAACAAUAUCAAGAAAAAGGUAACUCCAAUCCUUAUGACAUUCCAUCUAGCUCAGACCAACUUCUAGAUCCUCCGAGCUAUCGACGCCCUCCAUUGUAAAUGAUUAUGUUUCUCUUAGUCCUGCUCUUGAACUCCGCUAGAAAAUCUCCUUAAGUUUGUGUACGGACUUAGUUUGUUGUGGUCCCCAUGAAGGAGCAUCUUGAUUCUUAACUUAGGCUUUCGACAAGCCUGGUCAAGUUCCUUAUUGCUCUUGAAAAAGAUAACAUUUUGAUUGAUUUGUCGGGGGCUUCUUGAUGGAUGGCUUACGGUAUCUAUUGUGAAGGUAUGAUAACCGUUCAAUGGUUGUGUCUUCUCUAGUGAUUGCCAUUAGCUCUGUCCAUGUUCCUUUAUUCCUGUAGAUCACUUUGCCCAUACUUCAUAUAACCGUCCUAGUUGUAUUUUGAGUAUUGUGUAGAUAUCAAUGGUCGUUCCAUGACUGUUUUAUAACACGUGUCUUUGAUUCUGGCUAUGUUGGUGGCUUGAUUAUUGUUCAUAGUGUCUCUAUUUAAAAAGUUGCUGCCAAGGAUCAUACGGGCGGCCGCCAACCGUUUGUCAUCUAACUUCAACAACGAGACAUGUGGCAUUUCUUUAUCUUGUCGUCGAUAGUCCGGCAUGCAUCAGACAUCAUCCAUGAUAGGCACGGUAGUUGUCAACACGAACAUGGGAUGACAAUGAUCCGAGGAUGGUCAGUCUCAUUUUGUUUACUGUAGAGGAACAUGAAGAGGGCUACCUAACUCGUCACUUUCCAUUGCAAAGCCAAAAAAACUAAUGGCCAAAUGCAACUUGAUGUCGCCGUCCACCAAAUCCAGCCGAUGAAUCACCAAAAUGUAUCUUUUACUUUUCAGAAAUCAAUGUUAAAUUUCGUGAAAAUGGUUUUCAUAUAUUGUAUAAUUUGGAAUUUUUAAUUAAAUAUUAAAUCACUUUUUUCAUAAGUAUUACUUGACAUGGUUAUUUUGCGGAUUGAUUUCAAUAUGAUUCUGGCUUAACUCAACAUUAAGAGUGCACAAAAUGGAUUGCUCGAGCCAGAAACAACCCGAAUCAGAUUCAGUCCUGUUCUCAGGGGUGUUGGUUCGGUUCCCGAUUCCUAAAAGUGAAACUAGUGUCCGGAUGGUCCUGUUCCUAGUUCCAAUGGGAAAUUAGACCGGACUAACUAUGUAUAUUUUUUUUAAUUUCUUUUAAAUAAUAAAAGUGACCAGCUUUAUUAUUAUUAUUAUUAUUAUUAUUAUUAUUAUUAUUAUUAUUAUUAUUAUUAUUAUUAUUAUUAUUAUUAUUAUUAUUAUUUCUUCAUAAUAGAAGGAAUCAAGUAAUGGGAAGAAAAGAGUGAUCGAUUUCAUAAGACUGAAUUGGUCCUUUCGGUUAAGGGACCGAUCACCACCACUUAAGACGAGGGUGAAAGAAUAAGACACUAGGAGAAAAUGAUAGACUUGGGAAUGAGGAGGUGGCCUUUCAUGCGGGAUGAAUUUUGACCAUUAAGCCAGCGUUGUGUGCCAGGUGCACGUGGAAAGAAAAGAUGCUCAAGGUAAUGAACAUUAAAUGGGAUUUUGUCUACGAGAAUAAUUUCGUCACUUUCAAUGCAUACAUUAAAAAACGAAAGUGUUUUUAAUUAGUGCCCUCAAGACAUUCAUUGACAAAACUCACCUAUAUAUUAGGGAUGUGCACAUUCGAGAAUAGAAAAGGUAAUUGCUCUAGCUCAAAACCGAUACUAAAAGAAUUGGAUCCGAAUAUUCUUUGGAAUCUGAAUCUACUUUGCAUUAUCUUAGAACUACUCGAAACUUUAACUUGCCAGUUUCAUUGGUUCAAAAGUACUUUGUACUACUUGAGAAAAAAAACUUUAUGCUACUCGGCCCCAAGAAAAAAGUACGUGAAUUUUUUAAAUAAAAAUUAAAGAACAACGUAUCAAUUCCAAUUAUCAACACAUUCGACAACCGGUUUAUUCAUAAUAGGUAAAUUUUUAUGGCUAACACCAUCAUAAUCUUGACACACAACAAAUACCAAAAGUAAAAUCAAAUAAUUAAAUAUACUUAGUCGACACAUUUAAACAUGAAAAAGGAUCCGUAAAGGGGAAAAAAAAGAGAGAGGGAAAAAUCUUAUAAAUAGCUCUAGGGGUGAGUAACACAGACCGAUCAAAUUGGAAACUACCCGGACUAGACUAGAUUGAAUUGGUGGGUUCUAGGACGAAUCCAAGGGGGUGCAGAUCUGGUUUCAUGAAAAAUGGAACCACUGAUUUUUAAUCCCAUUUCCUAAUUCAGGUUGAUAGGGUAGCUUCAGGGAAAAAAUAUUCGGUAGUUAGAGAUUGCCACGUCAUUUGAUGACUUGGCAUAGAUGUUUUGGUCCUAGCCACUCAUCAUUUGACACCUGUUCAUUGGCCUGAUAUUAAAUAAGAAUUUAAAAUUUGCCAAAGAUCCAUUCAGCCUCAGCCAUGGAAGAACUUCGAGCAAUCAACUUGCAGCACCGCCCUUGUCGUGGCAAAAAACGGAGUCGCUGGCACUGCUCCGGCGCGUCUAAGCCAAGCUGCCCCUUUCGGCGUCGUUCGAUGCCGACGGCGGACAUGGACGAGCAAGGCAACGCCCAAACGCCUUCCGCCAUGGAAGGCUGGAUAUUGAAAUCUGGAGAGCGAUGAUGACAAAGCGACAAUGGCCAUGGGCAAGCUGUACGCUAACACGAUUCCAGAUCUGGAGGUGAUUGCAGAAGUAUAGAAAAAGAAGGAGCCAGAGGCGACUGGGGCUAAAAACCAGCGACGCUGACGACAGACACGAGCGACGCAACGCUUGAAUGCCUUCCGCCAUGGAAUACUAGAUCUUGAGAUCUGGAAAGCGACGCCUACAAAGCGACGAUGGCCAUGGGUGAGUGACCUAUACCCUAGCACGAUUUCAAAUCUGGAGGUGACUGGAAAAGUGCAGAAAAAGACGGGACCAAAGGUAGCUCGGGUUGACAACCAGCGACGCCGCAAAGGGUUGUCCAUCAUCCAUGGCUUAGAUGGGUUGUUUGCGCCUGAUUGUUGGCCUUGAGCAAAGUGGGCCUCUUGACUUGUCCUCGGCCGAAGGUUUUGGGGGCUUUAGAACACAUGGCCACAAGCUUCCAGUCGAGUUUUUAGUCUUCCUCCUCCUCCAUCAUCCGUGGCUGCAAGCUUUGCUUUUCCAUGGCUCACGAGAUGGCUUGGCUUGGACUUGGCCUCGCUGACUCUACUGGUGGCGACGGCAAGUGGAGGUUCGGCAACACCGACAAAGCAUACAAGCUUUCGUCGUCGGCAUUGCGCGAAACGUAUUCCUUAGCAUUAUCUGAGUACAAAGCUUUACCUUGCACAAAUGCACAAAACACAUAAAAUAAUUUUGAACAACUUUUCAUUAGAUAUAACCAAGUCACUCUUGAAUAAUCAUCAACAAAAGUAACAAAUUUUCUAAAACCCAAAUUGAAAACCACAUGACAAGAACCCUAAAUAUCUAAAUAAACUAACAAAAAAAAAGAAGAAAAAAAGACGCGGCAAUUUAAUGACUCGAGGCAAGUAACUGGCGUGAUGUAAUUUGUUAAGUUGAUAUGGCUCACAUUCUAAACUAGAAAGAGACUGAAAACUAGAAUUUAAUUCUAAAGACUAUGCAACAAAAAAUUACCAAUACAACAAGGAUCUGAUAUAGGGAUGCAACACUAGAGCAUGUAAUGGAAGGAGCAUCUUCAAGCAGAUACAUGCCCCCUUUCUCAUGUGUGACAUCAAGAAUUUCAAAAUAAUAUUUAGGACAUAUAUAUAAGUGUUAUUUAGUUUGGAGCCAUGAAGGUAGUUAAUUUUGUGAGGUGCAAAAUGUGCGAAGGAUGAUUGUCUAUUACCAUAAUCAUCGAAAUUCAAUGAGUUAAGCUCAGUGCUAGAUAUUGACAUGUAAGUCGGUGGUAUUGAGUGAUGAUCAUUAAUUUACUGCCAUAUUAGUUGUAGUCCUCAAAUUGCAUAUUUGACAAUAUUCAAGUUUUAAAUUUACUAAAUUGAUAUUAUCCUAGCAUCCUUUGCUUUUCACCAAUGUUUUUUUGUGAGUUCAAAAUAUUUUUCAAAUUUAUCAAUGCUUGGAAGAACAUUGAUUUUCUUAUUUACAUAUUAAUUUACUAGAAUUUGAUAAUUUAACAAAAUAUCCACUUUGCAAGCCAUGCAAGCAAGCCAUUUGUCCCUCUUAGUUUAUACCACCUCUCUUCAUUUCCCACCAAUUAUUUUAUCCUACCUGCUCAUAAGUUUGAAAUAUCGAAUUGGGUAACCCAUGAUAUCAUGCAUUACAUUAUUUAUACAUUAAUGACUUGAUAACUCACCCGCUUUACUUAGCUAGGAAGAAGCCAUAUAUCUCCUUGUGGCUAAACUUAUUAGGCCACUUGUACCCUAACUACUCACUUAGGGCCACUUGAAGCAUUUCUAUUGGAACACAUACCCUUUAUUUAGACCUCAUGAUUUUAAUCCAAACUCAUUACUACCUUGAACCUUGGUUAUUUGUUCAAGCAAACUAAAUAUGGCCAUAUGUGCUCAAGGUCAUUAUUAUUUCGUUCAUUCCCCCUUGGCCUUAUCAUUGGAAGAAACCGUAUAAUAGUAUCACUAAUGGUUCCACCUAACAUUUUUUUUAAGUCAUCAUUUCUUUUAACUUGAGUUUUUUGUUUUUACUGCCCUUGGACUAUAAAUAGGUUUCCUUAUGUCUUCAAGUUUCAAAAAGAAUACUAACUUUUUCUUGCAAAAAAAGAAAUUUUCCUCUUUUAUUUUCACAUUUCAAUCUUUCGUGUGAAAGGAAAGAUUCUCUCCUUGUGUUGUUAAAGCUUCAAAAUUCCAUUUUUCAAGAGUUACAAGGUGAACUUGUAGGUUAUUCUCUUUUAUUAAACUUUUUUUAAUAAAGGGUCAAGAGAUAUUAAUCUUUGUUCUUGAUUAUAUUGCUUUCAAGGUGACUAGAGUUUUGAUUUUACUCGAGCAUUUUAUUUGAGAUAAGUGAUAACUCUAGGGGCAAAGUUGGGUUAAUUUACUUAAGAUGAAUUUGUUUCAACUUUGCAAAUGGGUUUCGGGUGUAAUGCAAAUGCUAAAAACCAAAACCUUUUGGGGAAAUGCAUAUUAUGUUUGGUAAAAACUUUUUGUAAAGGGACUUUGAGUUCAAGUAGUGUUUGGUAAAAAAAAAAAAUUGUAAUGAGCUUUGGGUGUAUUUUUUUCAUAUUCUUUUUAUUAAAAAAGGACCCAAACCCUUCGCCGGAGCCGACAAAAGGCUAUCGCCACUAAGGAGCCAAAUUUGGCACUGAUAGCUAUCGACUAAGUUCUCCCUAGCUUGGGUUGCAUAACCAUAGGCCCUUACCCGAGGUCAUGAGUGGCACUCGCCUAAGGCUGUAUGACCUUUAGCGAAGGUCACUUGUGUCACGCGACCCUCACUGGCCAAAUUUGGCCUCGCCAGCUGCCCUUGCGCUAAGAAGAUGAACAAUUAUUAGGAGGGGUAAAAUUAGACAACUAAAGAAUUAGUAAGGGUAGUUUUGGAAGAAAGAAAAAUUUUAAUCCUAAUUUCGACAUUAUGCAAAAGCUACUUUGCAAAGCCAGGUGGAGUAGUACUGAGUUUUUAGCAUUCCUAAUGUAAGCAUUUGGUCAAAAGCUAUUUCAAAUUGAUUGCCAAACACUCCAACUUUUCCCCAAGAGGCUUUGGAGCAUGAAAGUCCCUUGAGAAAGUUGAACCAAACGCACCAUUUGUACUCUUGAUUUGGUCGGUUGUUAAUUAGGUUUUGGCUUUAGUUGUCAUAUGUAGGUAAGUUUUAAUGAUGGUUUGAAAAAUCUUAUAUUCGUUUGAAUUGAAUUGUUAAGCUUGUUCCAUGCCUAGGAUGUAUUUGAUGGAUUUCCUAAGGGGUGUUUUAUUGUUUCUCUAAGACGUGAUGACAAUUUUUAGUGUGAACUUGAAGUGAUAAUUAUGUAACGUGACUAAGUUACCGAAUUAUUAGUUUAGUGUUUUCGAUUAAUCAUGUGGUCAAUUCUUUGCAUUGUCAGUGUUCACAUAAUUGAUUAUUUGAGUUGUCAAUGUUCACGAUGUUUAUUAUAUGAGUUGUCGUUGCUGCGUUAUUGGUUAUAUGAGAUAAUUUAGGGAUGCCGAAAUGAAACCCUCUCUAGUAGAUGUGUGAUUUGGAGACGAACCAAGUAGAAGCUAAUGGGCUUGUAACAACCCAAUUCGAUGAGGGUGGGGUGUGGUCGUAGAGGCUAGAGGGCUUAGACAAGGAGAGGCUCCUAGUAGGAUUCUAGGAUGGAAAAUAGGGCAAGAAUGAAUCAAAUUACACCCUAAACAAGAAGAGAGCAUGUUUGGCACGCAUUAGGAGUAUCCAUAAUGUCUCUUGAGUCGAGAUCCUAACCCGUGACAAUUACGGAUUAUUCUAUGUGUGUUGUGAGUUUCAUGACAAGUAUGAACUUGUCUAUGUAUAUUCAUAUAUAUAUAUAUAUAGUGGCGAGCUAUUAUGGGAUAUUGGUGCAUCAUGAAAAAAUAUAUCACCUACUUGCUUUUGAGUAAAUGAACUUGCAAUGUUAUUAAUGGUUUCUACUUGCAUAUCAUGAUACUAAAGAUAGAGCAUUUGCUUAUGCAUUUGUCAUACAUUAUUAUUUUUAUUUAUUGAUUUGAAUUCAUGUUGCUUGUUGGUACCGGGUUAAGUGGUAAGCUAAUCUCUUACCUUAGACUUAGAGAUUUCAUUUACUAGGUUUCGACUCACCCCUUAUUUUUCAUAUUUGUAUGAUAUUUUCUCCGGACAUGCAAUGGAGGGACGACUUGAUGUCGGAUACCAUUAAUCCUGAGUUGGAUAGUAGUUUAUUUAGUAUGGAUGUAGUGGUGUUAGGUGACAUUGACCUUUCCCAGGACUACCUAUUCUAUUAAGAUAAUAACUACCCAUUUUAGUAUAAAGUUAAGGAUGUGUACAUAAUUAGGGCGAUUUUCUUGUAAGGGAUGUUGUAGAAAUUUUAUUAUGCUUCUGCAUGCGCAAUUACAAUUAUAAGAUAUAAUUAGAAAAGAGAUGUGUCAUGCAUGAUGUUCAAUGACAUCACAUCACAUCCUUUGCCAACAAUCUUGUUCGUAGCCAGAUCUUUGAGAAUACAAAAGUCAAGGUAGAAUGACUAAACAUUGAAAGUUUUUGGUUAAUUUACUAACAUACAUGAGAUUAAAUGAAAAUUGUUGGAGAUAAAGUACUAAUGAUAAAGGCAAUGAAUGAAUUAGAUGAACUGUACCAACCCCCUUAAUCUAUGUAGAUGAAUCAUCAGCUAGGAUAACAAUGGAUGAUGAUAGAGUAAGAGAGGAAAAUAAACCUAAAUGACCUAACAUGUGAUGAGAAGCCCCGAAUCAAUGAUUCAAGGGCGAGAAGUAGUUGAAAGGCAUGUAGUAGCAUUAAUGUUUGUACUAGAAGAAGCACGUUGUAAAAUCUAAACUUGUUAAUGCUGAGCAAAUUCCUUACUAGACAUAACCAUUACCUUACCUUGAGAAGACUGGAGUAGAAGAAGGGUCAGUACUGUAUGUAGUAUUUGCAAAAUGUUGUUGUUGUCCAAGUCUCCCAUGUAACUUGUACCAAAUUUCUUAAUAUAACCAAAUUUACCAUAGUAAUGACAAGUCCAAGCGGCCCCUAAGGUAUCAGUAGACAUGUGGGACUGUCUAUAAAGAUGUUGGCCUUAGCCUCUCCUUAUUCCUGUGCCUCGACCUCCACUUCGGCCUCCAUGACCAUUAUAUCCUCCACAAUUUCCUUUAUCACUCCUAUUACCACCACUAGUUCGAGAUUGGGACACAAAAGCUUAACUUUCUACCACAUACGUGGUGCCCUGAGAAAACUCACGAGAUACUGGAAAACUCUAAGCAAAUUACCUAUGAGUGAUUUAAUAGUCUCUCUCCCCAAGAAUCUUAAAUUUAAUGGUUUCAUAGUCUGGACCGAGACUUCUUAGGAAUCCCAUUACAGCAAAUCGUUCUCUCUAAAGUUGCAUUUGUUGGACAUUGGCUGAAAUAGGGAGAACAAAGUCAACUUCUCAUAUAUCCUCUUAUAAUUAGCAAAGUACAGUAUAAUAGGACACCCCUUCCUUUCAAAUUGGUAAAACUCUGCGAUAGCUCAUAAAUCUAUGAAAAGUUAUUUUGGCCAAAAUAUAAUACAUCCAAAUAUUCCCAAGAUUAUUUGGCUAUGUCAACGUGAGUUAUUAGAUUGAUUGUAUUAGUUUCCAUAGAAUUCAGCAUCUGACUAAAAACACGUGCAUCAACAACGUCCCAAGUUGGAUCAUAUGUGGGUUUAGGCUCAGUCGAGUGUAUAUGCUGAUGUCUACUUGUUAAAGUUAGUUUCACAAUUUUCUUCCAUUGAUGAAAGUUAGCACUACCCUCAAACUUCUUAUCAAAUAAUUCAACCAGAAGAAGAGGAAAUCACCUCAGUCAUCACCGUAUUAUUCUUCUUAGGAUCACCCACAGUUUCACUUCUCUCAAGAUCACCCAUUCUCCAAUAAUAAGAAACCAUCGCAAUAUUUUUCUUUAAGCAACUCAACUUCAAUAGUUCAAUAAUCUAGCACAAUUGAAAAAUAAAUCACCACAUAAAAGAUUCUCCAUGACCCACAAACGCUACCAAUUGAGAGACCAUAACUACAUUAUUCAAACACCCACAAGUUAAAUGCCGAAAAAUAAGAAACCCUAAGUAGUCCUGCUAAAAGAUAACAGACUUGGCCAACGGAUUAGAUAAAUUCAUAAGGGCAUGGGGAUAGCCAAUCUAGCAACUAAGGAGUCCAACAACUAACAUAUCAUUGAUCUACGGGAAUUGGUCAUUGUCGAUGAUGGAGGGGAAGCGUGCAAGGCAACGUGCGAGGACAGUGCAAGGAAGUCGCGUUGGAGAAAGCAUGCAAGGGAGACGCACUAGCAAAGAGGAAACACUCAAGGGUAGCGCAAGGAAGACACAUUGGAGAAAGUGCGCAAGGGAGACACACUAGUGGAGAGGGCUCACCGUUUCGGCAAUUAGUCAACGGCGAUGAGCGGUUGCUGUGUCGACUAGGGUUAAGGACCCUUCUCGGAUGACAUGUGAAAGGAAAAUUGUUGAUCAUAUUAUUCACUAAAUAUCACUAUAUUUGUAUUAGUAAUCAGCAACAAAAUAGGCCUUAAGGGUCCUAAAGACCGUUUUACCAUUUAUACUUCCAACAAUCAUGUCUCUUGAUUGGUAAUUUUGUUGAUAUCUAUUAAUCUAAUGAUUAUAAACAUGUGGAAGGAACAAUUGCUUAUGCACAUGCUAUGUUUGGCGAGCUUGGAGUGGGGGACUAUGUAGCACUGACACGGACACGCGACACACGACGCGAUACAACGCGACACGACACGACACGACACACUGACACGUCAUUUCUAUAAAUAAAUAAAAAUAUAGAAUCCGACAUGUUUCGACACGUUAUAUAUUAAAUAUAUAUUUGUAUAUAUAAAUGCAAAAUUAAAUAAAUAAUAAUAACAAAAAGAAUAUAGAACUAAAUAUUAAUCCAAUAUUUAUUAAUAUCAUUCAUUGUUUUAAUUUGACAAAAAUUGAACAAGAAAUUCAAAAAUUGCAAACACAAAAGAGUAAACUUAAAGGAAUAUCUCAUGUUUUCUUACACUUGUCGGAGAUUAGUGAGAUUUCUUAUAGUCAUAGACAGAGUUCGGAGUUCUUGAUAUAGACUGGAGCUCCUUUGUAAAAUAAGGUUCCAGAAAAAUGAAAAUCCAAGACAAUGACUCUCGAAGUAUGACCAAAAGAAAAGGAAAUCACUAAAUUUGUCAUGGAAAAUGUGAGAGAUAACUCACAAGCUAAUAACAUAGACCAAAAGAGAUAACUCGCAUGCGACUGCCUGCGCAAGGCGGAAAGAAGCCAAAAAAAAAAAAAAAAUCACAACUUUAAGUCUAUGGGAGCGGCGAAGCGAUACCGGCGAGAAGAGCGACAUUCCAUCGUCACUCACGAGAAGGUCAAAACUCAGAAGUAAGAAACUUGAGAGUGAGAAUUUUCUUCUUUUCCCUUUAUUUUUGUUAUUUUCAUUAUUUUUUCAUAUAUUUAUAUUUUGACCCCUCAAGUAUUAAUUUUUUUUAAAAUUGACCCGUGUGUGUGGGAAUUACGUGUCAGAAUUUCAAACUCACGUGUCGGAGCAUGUAAAAAAAAAUUGAACAUGUGUUGGAUAUUUCAACACUUGUUGAUCGCGUGUUGAAGCGUGUUGGAAUGUCGGACACGACAUUAAGGCUCCUAGAGAGUAUCGGUACUUAUUAGGUGGGGGAGCUCCAUGAAUACAUGCAUUGCCUCCAAUCUAUCUUCGAUUAGUAUGGGACCCUCCAAGUUCUCUGCUUUUUUUCGACCCCAAAAAAAAAAUUCUUUGCUUUUGGAACAUGUGAAAUGAUAUAGAAGUGUAAUUCCCGUAAUCUCCGGAAUCAAGUCACGGCGUGAUCCACCGUCUUCUAACUUAUGUUCAAAGUUAAGCCCUUCUUCCUACAAAUAAUUGCUUAUAAAAAAUAAAAUAAAAAUCCACUUUCGAGCUUGGAGACAGGACUUUUAGCUUAUAGCAUGGGCACUUUACUCCAAGAUGCGAUUUUAUCUUUCGGAGGUUGAGAGGAAAAACGCAGUUCAAAUUAGGUGGCUCCAUAUGAAAUUCAAUAGCAAUACAGUAAUUACUAUAAUUCUCUGCCCAGUCGCCAGGAACCUGGUGGAAAGCAAAAGAAAAAGAAAGAAACAUCGCGUAGAAUGUAGGAAAAAAGUUUUGUGGUUUGGCCCCCAAUCUAAGGAAUAAGUUUCAAUUUUCAGCCCAAAACGCAGAAAAGCUCGAAGUUUCAAACAUAGGACGACAAUGACCCGAGGUUGGUCAGGUUCAUUUACCUCACUGUAGAGGGGCAUAUAAAAAGGGCUUCCACCCGUCAUUUUCCAUUGCAAAAGCCAAGCAAACCAGGGGUCGAAUCCAACUCGACGUCGCGGUCUUCCGAAACCAGCCGAUGUAUCGUUUCCAAGGACCGCUCGCUGGAUUUUUGACCCCCCAAACACAGCGUCCAUGACCAAAAAAAACAAAAAAACAAAAAAUACUGUCCACCAAUAGAUCUCACCCAGCUAUCGGGCAGUGUUUCAUGUGAUUGGAGUCACGUGAGCAAAAGUACCUUUUCCUUUUGACACGUUAAGUCGCAUGUCACUGCUGUCGGCCGAUGCAUUUAAAACUACAAGUAUAUCUUUCUUUUCGGAAAUCAACCUUUAAUUUCGCUAGACUGGUUCAUAUGUUGAAUAAUUUUCAAUUUUUUAAUUAAAUAUCAAAUACCUUUUUUAAGUAUUACUUAACAUGGAUAUUUUACGGAUUGAUUUCAAUAUGGUUACAGCUAAAUCAUGGUGAGGGUGAAAGAAUAUGAUGCUAAGAGAAAAAGAUAAAUCCAGACACUUCUAAACAAUCGUUGAUAAGAAUCUAUGUUGACUUUUCAUGUGGGAUGAAUUUUGAUCACGAAAUCAAUGUGAGAAAAAAGAUGCUUUGAAUAUAAGUAGGGUAGGGUUUUUCUCGAUGAGAAUAUAUUUUCUCACUUUGAAAAACUUUAUCGUUAAAAUUGAAAGUAUAUUAAUAAGUGCUCUACAAACAUUCGUUAAUAAAAUCCAUAUGAACACUAGGAAUAUGCACAUUCUGAAAUAAAUAAGUUACUCUAUCUUGAAAUCUACUCUCCAAGGACAUGAAAAUCUACCCUGCAAGAGUUUUAGAAUGGCUUGAAACUAUAACAUGCCGGUUUCAUAGCUUUUAAAGUACUUCAAACCAUUUACGCCUUCUCCUUAUAUGCCCUAAAGAGAAACACAUUCAAGAAAAAUGUUACAUUCCCAAUUAUCAACACAUUCAUAGUCGCACGCGGGUUUUCAAAUCUCGAAGCCUCGGAAACCAUCAGGCGACCUCUGGUACCCCGCGGUGCGACUCUCUUUUUUGGGGUUACGCCCACAAUUUCUAAACGGGUUCCACGGUCCCAAAUGGUGUGGAACCUAAGCAUGUGGCAGGGGCGGUCGAUGUGACACUUCCAGCACCCAAGAAAUUCCACCAUAAAACCAUCCGCCCAGCUCACCUUUAAAAAAUUCAAUCCUCCAAAAAGACCAACAAAAUUCAAUCAUGAUUACUCUUCCGCCUUAUUCACCGGUAAUUGCCAACACCUUUUCUCUCUCUCUCUCUCUCUCCACAGCUAGGCCGCCCAUUGUAUUUUCUCCCUCUCUCUCUCUCUCUCUCUCUCUCUCUCUCUCUCGUUGGCAUAUAUAAAGACUGCAUUUUUUUAACCAUUCUUCCACGCACAAACCCACAAAAAACUCCAGAAGCACCCCGCCAGCCUCCAUUGCCACUCCUCGCUUCACCUUCUCCUUCUCCUUCUCCCUCCAUCUCCCCCUCCUCCUCCUCCUCCCCCUCCGCCACCUCCGCCGCCGCUCCUCCGCCGCCGCCAUGGACACCGGCAUCGGAUCGCUCAGCUCAUGCAAGCCCCCCUGCAACGACGUCGGGUCCCCCCCCAACGGCGCCGCCGCGGCCAUCCAGGGCUCGGGCCCCGCGCCCGCGGUGGUCGCCUCCCCCGACUCCACCAUGGGCCGCCACAUCGCCCACCGGCUCGUCCAGAUCGGCGUCACCGACGUCUUCGCCGUCCCCGGCGACUUCAACCUCACGCUCCUCGACCACCUCAUCGCCGAGCCGGGGCUCAACCUCGUCGGCUGCUGCAACGAGCUCAACGCCGGGUACGCCGCCGACGGCUACGCCCGCGCCCGCGGCGUCGGGGCCUGCGUCGUGACGUUCACCGUCGGCGGGCUCAGCGUGCUCAACGCCAUCGCCGGGGCCUACAGCGAGAACCUGCCGGUGGUCUGCAUCGUCGGCGGGCCCAACUCCAACGACUACGGGACGAACAGGGUACUUCACCAUACCAUCGGGUUGCCUGAUUUCAGCCAAGAGCUUCGGUGUUUUCAGACUGUUACUUGCUUCCAGGUCUCUCUUCGGUCCCCUCUCUUUGAUCUUUUUUGCUGAAACUAAUUUUUUAUUCGGAUCGAUCUUUGUCUGAAGUGUGCCUCUCUAUGAUUCUUUUUGCGGAAACUAAUUUUUUAUUCGGAUCGAUCUUUGUCUGAAGUGGGUAUAUUGACUAGAAACAUCGCUUCGAGGACUUUCAAGAAUUAGUCAUAUUAUAAUGCUUGUCGCUUUUUGGAUCUUGUUGUUUGUGGUGGGUCUGUCCUGUGAGAUGAUAAUAAUAUACUAAUGGUUGCUUAGUAUUUUGGGAUGGGAGUCCGAGCUGGGGCUUUUGCAUAGAUUGUUGUGAGAGGGGUAUGUAUGUUAAGUGCAGAUCGAAUGAACUUGAUUUGUUGAUUGUCUCCGUUUCGCCUUUUUCUAGGCUGUGGUGAAUAAUUUGGAAGAUGCACAUGAACUGAUCGAUACCGCGAUCUCGACUGCCCUUAAAGAAAGCAAGCCCGUUUACAUAAGCAUAAGCUGCAACUUGCCUGCCAUACCUCACCCCACUUUCAGUCGUGAGCCGGUUCCAUUUGCACUCUCUCCCAAGUAAUUUUCCAUCUGUUCAGUCGAUCAAGUCUAUUUGCUGCAUUAGAUUAUGACUAGAGUGAUGUGAUUGAUUACUUUUUAUCGACACAGAUUGACUAAUCAGAUGGGAUUGGAAGCUGCGGUAGAGGCAGCUGCAGAGUUCUUGAACAAGGCAGUGAAGCCGGUAAUGGUGGGUGGCCCGAAACUCCGGGUUGCAAAGGCUUCUGAAGCCUUCGUAGAACUAGCUGAUGCAUGCGGCUAUGCUGUAGCUGUGAUGCCAUCGGCAAAAGGGCAAGUGCCCGAGCACCAUCCCCGCUUCAUCGGGACUUACUGGGGUGCGGUGAGCACUGCAUUCUGUGCCGAGAUCGUGGAAUCUGCAGAUGCCUAUAUAUUUGCUGGCCCCAUUUUCAAUGACUACAGCUCCGUUGGGUAUUCCCUCCUUCUCAAGAAGGAGAAGGCCAUUAUUUUGCAGCCUGAGAGGGUUGUGAUCGGUAAUGGUCCUGCUUUCGGUUGUGUUCUGAUGAAGGAUUUUCUUAAAGCGCUCUCGAAGCGGGUCAAGCGGAACACAACUGCUUAUGAGAAUUAUCACAGGAUUUUUGUUCCAGACGGCCAUCCAUUGAAGUGUGAACCCAAGGAGCCCUUGAGGGUCAAUGUCCUGUUCAAGCACAUACAGGACAUGCUCUCUAGUGAAUCAGCUGUGAUUGCUGAGACUGGAGACUCUUGGUUCAACUGCCAGAAGCUGAAACUACCACAAGGCUGUGGGUACGUGGGUGUAGUUGCAUAAAUUAGGUCUCUUGUCUUCAACUUUUUGAUCUGCCGCUACUUAAGAAAACGAACUGAAAUUGUUUGAAUGGGGGUAUGCAGGUAUGAGUUCCAAAUGCAGUAUGGAUCUAUUGGAUGGUCCGUCGGUGCAACCCUCGGGUAUGCACAGGCUGUGCCAGAGAAGAGAGUCAUUGCAUGCAUUGGAGAUGGUAGCUUCCAGGUAUGGAAUGGUUUCUUAUCUCUGUUAUAUUUCUUAGCACAUUCGAACGAACCAUCAUGAAUGACGUAGCUAUACAUAGAGCUUCUGUCAAGAAGACAUCCACUAGUUUGCAGGCUCAACCUAUGAACAUGCAAGUAAUCCUUUUAAGCAUUUUGCAUAGGUGAAGAGUUUAGUCAUACAAUGCAGUCAUGCACUGACCUUAUUCAUCUCCCUCCCUUUUUCUACUAAAAUUGAUUAUUUUAAUCUUGUUUUGUUAAUUGAAUGGAAGAGAUAAAUAAUGUAAGAUUCGUGGACGACUUUUGCACCCUAGGUAACUGCCCAAGAUGUGUCAACUAUGCUGCGAUGUGGGCAGAACACCAUCAUCUUCCUGAUAAACAAUGGCGGCUACACCAUUGAAGUUGAG
rnacentral:lncRNA from 1 species